GUACUGGAUCUUGAUUAAAUUGUAAUGUUGUUUAUGGAUUUUAAUAGAAUCUUAUUCAUCCAAUGUCUGAGUUCUUGACAUCUUAAGUUUUUCAUUGGUACUUGAUGACCAGCUGAUGUUCUUUGCAAAGAAAAAGAAACAUAAUUUGGAUGGUUAAUAUCUGACACAUCUAUUGUACUUUACAUGACCUUCUUUACUGUAACUUUUGUCCAAUAUCAUAAUUGAUUUAUUAGACUCAAAUUUUGAAUAGAAAUAGCUAAUUUAUUAUUGUAUAUGGUUAUUAGUAAAAGUAGGUGCAUGUUUGGACCUAGUCCACCACAUUUGUCAGGAACAAAUCAUAAUUUUCUACCCUUGGGACCUUAGAGUUAAAAUAUAAACCAUUCAAUGUUAUCUGCAACAUUUGACUGAUAUAUACACGAAAAAUCAUAACUUUUGGGAAUCUAUUAGCUAGGCAUCAAGAAGUUCUAAAAGUCAAUAGUGUUCAAGCUACUAUUUUUGGGAAGUUUAUGUUUUUUCACAUGCAAACCUUAAGAUGCUUUAAAUCUCAUAUGAUAUUCUAAAGUUUUUCUUUAAAACCUUUGAUAUAAAAUUGUGGUAGACCAAGCAUUGGUAUUGAGAUUUGGUGGAUUUGGCCCAAGUGCAGGAAUAAUUCCACUCCCAGGGAAGAAGCUGCCGUCCUUGUCUUAUAGGGAGAUAUUGAUGCUUGAUCCUAGUCUGCUGUAUUAGCGAAGAGUCAACAAUGCUUUCAACGUUAGAGGUGUUAAAAUUAUAGAAUAAAUUACCAGAUGUGAUCUACAACACAUAAUAGUCAUUAUAAUAUUAGAAGUGGUCUACAACAUAUAAAUGGUCUAUAUAAUAGAUAUCACAAGUUUAAAAACUAUUAGUUAGACAUUAUGCGGCCUUAAAACUUAAUAUUGUUAAAAGAGCUACUCUGUCAAUGGUCUAAAAUGUUACUUUACAACCUUUAAAUUUGAGUUUUGGUUGAUGGUGUAGCAAGUCCAAGUAAUAAUUUCACUAUUGAAGCAGGAAGUGUCAUCCUAACUGAGAAGGGAGAUAUUAUUGCCCGCAACCAGUGUAUACAUACACUCAAACUCAUUGCAGUUAAUAUUUGAUGAUCAAUGUAUUAAAAAUCAAAAUCUAAUUUGAUAAAUGUGAUCCAUAUUGUUUAAAGAGUCACAUUGUACAAAUUAAAAUGUAUUUUGAAAUUCAUUACUGAAGCAUUAAGUAGUCCCAAAAAUAAAUGGUAGAGAAAGGGUUAUUAUUUGAUUUGUGAUAAAUUGGUGUUCAAAAUUUGUUGUUUUUAGGGGCUGUUUGGUUGCACGCAUUUGCAACUGCAGUGCAGUUGCAAAUGCGUGCAGCCUUAAUUCCUUUGUUUGGUUUAGUGUAGUUGAGUUCAACUGCUGCAAUUCCAACUACACAAGAAGGUCCAAAUGCUGCAGUUGGAACUACAUCCAAAUUGGCCGUAGUUCCAACUGCAGCAGUUGGUGAGGGAUAGGAUCACUCACAAAUUAACAAUAAUAAAUAAAUAAAUAAAUAGCUAAAUAAAUAAAUAAUAUAUGUAUAUAGGUAAAUAAAAAUACUUGUAAAUAAACUCAUACUAAUAAAAUUUUUUAGACAAUACAAGCUUUGUGCAAAAAAUUAAAUUUUUUAAAUUUAUUUUAUUUAAAAUAUAAAUAUAGUUUUUUUAAAAAAAUUUUAUAGAAUGUGAUCGUGUAUGUUAAUUUAAUAAGUUUUAAUUAAUUAUAAUUAUUAAAUUUGAUAGUUAAUUUAAUAGGUUUUAAUUAAUUAUAAUUAUUAAAUAUGAUAAAAAAAAAUGAGAGAAUCGUUUAAAUUUUAAAGUUUGAUUUACAUAUUAAAAUUAAAUAAAUUAAAAAUUUUAACUGUGUCGAUUAAUAAGUUGAAGAAUAUUAUAUAUAUAUACUUAUUUAUUUAUAAAUAGUAAAUUUAAAUGAUUAAUAAACUUAUACAAUUAUUUUAUGUUUAGUGAAGGUAAUCUCACCACUCUUUCUGAAAAUGUGAUAAAAUUCACAAAUACAACUAUCAGCUUCAUAUUACCAAACAGAAGAAAUGUAACUGCAGCAGUUGCAACUGCGUAAAACCAAACAAACUAGGUGUAGUUACAAUAGCAGCAUUUACAACUGCAUGUAUUUCCAACUACACUAUUUCUGCAACUACAUCCAACCAAACAGCCCCUUAGUACACAAGCCUUUUAAAUGGUAGAGAACAUAUCCAAUGAGUUGGAUUCUGAUUUUGAGGCCUCUAUCAUAGAGAAUUAGAGCCAUGGUGUAUAAGAUAUAUGUAUACACCUGGUGCAGGCAAUAAUUUCUCUUGAGAAAGAAAGUGAUAGUUGUGUUGGGUGCGUGGGUUCCGACCCAUCAUUGAAAGCAUGAUGUGUCACUAGGAGGAUGCCUUAACCCAACUUUUGUGUGUACUGUGUAGGAUAUUAACUAUUAUUGGUAGAAGAAUAUUAGUGAAAGAAUUAGGCAAAGAGAAAGAGAGCUAUAAGUACCUUUAUUUUGGAUAGUUUUUAUCUGAAAAAUAGUAGAAGUAAUGGAUAAGAAUAUAAUGAUCAAGGAUAAACAGUACAGAGGAAAAUAAAAUGACAAGGGGUAAACCAAAGAACCAUUUAGAAAACUAUAAAUCGGACAAAGCAGUUUAACUUUUUGACACGUCCUACUCUAAUUGUUCUGAAAUUUGUGCUUAUCAAACAUUUCUUUGUAUAUACUAGAUGGCGGCAAAUGAUGUAGUUUCAGCUUAUUUCUAAUUUUUCUGCUGACUUAGAUAUGAUGGUGAAGCAUAUAAGGAUGCACCAGAAGGUGACAAUUGGCAUAGUUUUCAGCUAUAUUCAAAAUUUUCCAUUUACUGUAAAUUAUAACUAAGAAAUAACUCAGGAAAGUGUUAAUUAUUAAACAUCUACUGCUGGUUUUUAUGCAAUUAAUCUACAAAAAAUAGUAAAAACCAAAUUACAAAAUAUGUCAUAAAUAAACUAGAAACAAUUGAAAUAAUUUUGUGCAUUGUGUGGAUUACUUUCUACUAGGGGAUGUAAAUUUGGAUUUUAAUCAAUAGCAUCUGAAAGUACUAAAAAUAGGAGGGACAAACAGAAACUAUCAAUUCAUCCAAUAUAUAAUAGUUAAUAAAGCAAAUUAUUUUACUCAAUCCGACAGCAAUUUUGUAAAGCAAAUAUUGCAUGUAUACUACAGUCUCAAAUACUCUGUAGUACCAAAUAAAUAUUAGUUUAUUAGAUGUGGCAGUUGCGAAAUUAUAGCUUUAUCUUGUAAUAAAGUAUUUAAAUGUCUGAACUCUCUCUCUCACACACUCUCUCUCUAUACAUAUAUCUAGUCUAGCUGGGAUACUAUUGAUAGUAAAUGAAUAGUAUUUACUAUCAACUUUUUCUAGCCCUUGAAUCAAUACUAUUCCACUUGCCGCCAUUGAACCCUAGGCAUCUAAGGGCUGAAAAGCAAAAUAGUAAACACUAUUUCAUUUACUAUCAAAAGUAUUCUUGCUUCAUUCUAGAAAAACUAGAAUAUAUUGAUAGUAGAGGAAUAGUGUUUGCUUUGUACUUCUUAUCCCUCGAAUGCAUAGGGUUUACUAAUUGGCGGUGAUAUAAUUAUGGAUCCAAGGGCUAAAAAGUUGAUAGUAAACACUGUUCAUCUCCUAUCAAUAGUAUCAUAGCUCAACUCUCUCUCUCUCUCUCUCUCUCUCUCUAUAUAUAUAUAUAUAUAUAUAUAAGAGUAUAGUAGCCCUCCUCUAUAUGAGUCUGGCUACUAUACUCUUAUGAGUACGAUUGCCCUUGUACUCAUAAGUCAUUUUCGAUGAUAGAGCUUCCGAAUCGACGAUCCAUAUUGUUAACAUUAUCUAGAACAUUUAAAACUUCUAGAAAUCAAAUUUUAUAAAUUUUCGAUAUCAUUUACCUUACGAUCAAAAGUUCACAAAAUUGACAAUUUUUAACGGCCAGUAUGGGAUACUUACUAGUUUAACGGUGUAAAAGAAUUGGAAUAGGUUGAAUUUUUAAUAAAAAAUUCUAUUCACUACCUAGAUAAAGAUCAAUAACUCCGAUCUUAAAUUGAAGGAUCCGAUCAUCCAUUUUUACGACGUCGUUCGAUUUUGACCAUUCAUUUUAUGCCCGCUUGAUGGACUUUAUUAUGAUUUCGAAAAAUUACGAAAUUUAUUUUCUAAAAGUUUCAAAUACUCUAGAUCAUAUUUAACGGAGUGGAUCAUUGAUUCGGAAGCUCUAUAAUUGAAAACAACUUAUGAGUACGAAGGCUCCUAUACUCAUAAGAGUAUAGUAGCCCUGCUAUAUAUAUAUAUAUAUAUAUAUAUAUAUAUAUAUAUAUAUAUAUAUAUGUGUGUGUGUGUGUGUGUGUGUGUGUGUGUGUGUGUGUUAGUUCUGACAAAACCAAUAAUUGAAUUAAAAACUGGGUAAACUUCAAUUUGUCCCCUUGGUUUAGCUCAUUUUCAUUUUCAUUUUGCCAUCCUAUGGUCAAAAAAUUGCACUUUACUAUCCUAUAGUUUUUAUCUUUAUUUUUUCCAAAAAAAUCUACUAUUAAACAGGGUAGCAAAGUGAAAUUUUUGGAUAACCAUAGGAUAGUUAAGAGUAAAAUUUUGAACUACUACGUGACAAAGCAAAGAUGUGCUAAGUCAUUGGGUAGUUAAGUGCAAACUUUUUGAACCAUAAGGUGACAAAGUGAAAAUAAGCUACCCAUUGGGGGGCCAAAUUGAAGUUUAUCCUUAAAAAUUGUUGGAGAAUGUCGACUAGGAAAUUUGCAGUAUUAUUCCAUCAUCAACAUAAUUUGGACAAAAGCAGAAACAAAGAUGCUGGAUAAAUUAAUAGAGCAAAUGAAUGCUAUUCCAGAAAAGCUCUAUGUAUAAAAGAUAUGCAAGAGAACAAAGUAAAUUGGAGUAUUUUGUAGAUCACAUAUUUUAAUGUUAUUUGUGGUUGAAAACUUGUUAAACUGAAUUCCUCGUUAUGAUUUACUCAUGAUUUCUUAAGUAAUAUCCGCUCAAAGGCAUUGUAUGCCAUUCUUGUUAUAGUGUAGUAAAAUCCUAUUUGAAUGCUGGCUAUUUUAUCCCUUUAAGAUUGAAUAUUCCAAAUUGAGAAUCUCUUGAGGAGCCAAAUUUCAAAUAAGAGUUUUUAGCGAAGAAACUACAGAAUUCUAUGAGCUUGGGAUUAAACAUUUCUUUUUUGAAGUGACUUAUGUACAGAAGCAUUUGAACUGUCCAAAAUAACCAGAAUUCUAUGGGCUUGAGAUUAACUAGAUAUGGUUAUUGUGGAUUUGUCUAUAUAUCUAUGUAAAGAAGCAUUUGGACUGUUUAUAUCAAAUGUACCACUGCUGACUCAUUAUUGUUGCUUCUAGGAUGUCACUAUGAAGAUCAUAUCAUUUUCCCAGCAAGGACCUAGAGCUAUCUGCAUUCUAUCAGCUAAUGGUGUGAUAUCCAAUGUUACCCUUCGUCAGCCUGACUCAUCCGGUGGUACAUUGACUUACGAGGUUUGUAAACAAACCCUUCUCCAAAAUCAUAGUUAAAUAUGCAUCAUUCUGUUAUAAAUUGGCUAGCCACAUAAGCUAGGACUAUAGUUUGAUGUUAUGAGGUAAACUAUUUUGGGGCACAAAAAAGCCCAUGAAUUUGAUGACUUAAUCCUUGAUUCUGCAUAAUACAGUGGAUUGUAUAUCAACCUUUCCGAGUUUGUGUUAGUUUAGGUGAGCGACGAUGAGCAUGAGAUGAAGUGCUAUCUUUUAGACAACUAGUUUUAUUUUCCAGUGAACUUUUACCUUAGGUGCACGACCUACCGUACAUGGUGCCAUCCUUUUGAAGCAUGAGGUUAGUUUUACCCUAGGAAUUGUAAGCAAUCUUUCAUUUUACUGAAAAGGAACUUAAAAUGGUGUGCCUUUGGAAAUUUUUCACAACAAAAUGACUGCCAAGCGAUGUCUUUGUGUUAGGCAUGGCUAGAUGAUGCUGCACAAGAUAAGGCAUCCUACGUUUAGGUGGAUUCUAGGAGUAAAGAAUUUUGGAUUGUCAGGAAAGAAGAGAGGAUUCAUAACCUUAAAGGAGAAUUUGGGAGAAACUAACUUCUAAAAUAUGAUUUGCAAAGUUUCUGAAUAGUUUCAGAAAUUUUCUGAGAACUUUUCAGAUUUUUUCCAUUUUCUGAAUUAAAGGGAUUUUUAAAAUGAUUUUCGGAGUUAAAUAUUCUGAAGUGAAUUAAUCUGUAAAACAUUGUGGAAGGCCAGCACAUAUUAUUGAAUUAAUUUGUUUUUUUUUAUUUUUAUUUUAAUGUUCGAAGUUCAAAAACAUCCAAGAAAAUAAAAAAAAGAGAAACCACGAAAAUUAAAUAAAACAGCAAAAAAUGUUGGAAAAUUUAGAUACAAAGAUGAUGUGGAAAUAAUAAUCAGGACUCACUUUUUAAUCUUAACUCAAUUUGGGGUUGCAUUCUGUCUAGCAUGAGGCAGUUCCGACGGAAAAGGGCGCACCAUUAUCAAAGCCUUUUCUUUUUUUUUUUUUUGAGAGGGAGAGAGAGAUUGUCAAAGGCUUUGAUAUUAUUCAUAGGUGGAAAAGUUCACCAUUCAAUUGUGAUGACUAUGAAGCUUGAGGCUUAUUUAUAAAAUCCUUGGCCUUGAAAAUCUAACUAGCUGAGGAUUUGAUCCUAUUCAUAAUAGCUAAGAUAGAAUAAAAAGUGCAGAAGAUCAAUAAAGAUUAGAUAAAAACCAUGAGAACAACUAAGCCUAUCAUCCUAACAAUCCAGCAAGCUUAAAAUGAGAUUAAAUUACAAGAAAGGCUCCUUUUACUUCAGCUUACUUCAGCCUAAGUAUCAAUUACUCUCCUGCAUAAAAGAAUUAUAUCAAUGUCAACCAUUCACUUUCCUGUGUCAACUUGGCCCAAUUUGGAUAUUUGAAUGCUUAUUUUCCAUGGACUAUUUCUGCUUUUUAAAAAUUUUCUUGCGUGCUUGAGAUUUUUGAGAGGUUUCUACUUCAUGCUAAAUGUGCAAGGCUAGCACUUUCCCUCCAAAUAUUCCCUCCUAUGACUAAUGAGACGUAAUUGGGCAAAUGCCUUUUUUUUCUGCUAUUUCUGUUGUAUAGGCUUUAGUUGUUCAUUCUGAUGCCAUUGAGAAUGGCGCUUUGUGAUGCGGCAUCUCAUUUUUUAAAAAAGACAACUAGUUUGUUGUAACUUGUAACUUAUCUCAUUUGUUUUGUAGGGUCGUUUUGAGCUGCUUUCCUUAUCUGGAUCAUUUAUGCCAACUGAAAAUGGUGGAACAAGAAGUCGAUCUGGUGGGAUAAGUGUUUCCUUAGCCAGCCCGGAUGGUCGUGUUGUGGGUGGUGGAGUUGCUGGCCUUCUGGUAGCUGCUAGUCCUGUUCAGGUAAUACUGUUCAAGUCCUAUCAAUCUCUAAUACUUCAAUAUUCUGCCGUACACAUUAGCUUCUUAUUAUGGUGGAAAGCAAAUUUGUUUUCUUUUCUUUGUAAUUUUUUGCUAGGCCUUGUUCAGUUAGUUGUCUUUUUUUGUUUUUUGUUUUUUUUAAAUAGAAUUUCUACAUGAAAUAGCAUAGGAGGGACUUGCAAUCCUUAUAUCUAAGGUGAUUAUUUGGCAAUAACAAACAAAAACUGGGAAGCAAGUGUCCAAGGGUUUUUUUAAAAAAAAAAAAAAUAAUAAAAGGAUUGCAUCCGUUACUUGGGAGGAGUGCAUUGCAAGCUAACCAAACACAGGAGUGCUGUGUUUAAAAAGGCAAAAAACCAGCAAUCAUGCCAAAUUAAUCCUUCACCCAGCCAAAAACUGCUUUUCAGCUGCCGUCCAAAUUUUUUUCAUAAUUCUUUCUUUGCAAACUCGACAAGAUUUUUACAUAUGUCGGAAUAUAUUUUAUUGGAAACCAGUCACUGUCUUGUUUAAAUCCAGAUGUUGGUCUUAUCUUUUCGAUUAAUUUGUUAUACAUAAAACCCUUGUAAUUUUCACAUUGCUCUGAUGGAAAACGAAAACCUGUAUACCAACCCUCCAUAGUUUGAAUAGUUAACGACUUUCUGUUCCUGUCAGUGACCAUGAGAAAAUGUUAGAAUACUAUAAUUACAAUGGCUAUAAUUAUUUUCCAUUAUAUUUCAUUUUAUUGUCAAAAAUGUGAACUGCCCCUGCAAUAUCACAAUUUUCACUUAUGCUCCUAAAAGGUUAAAAAAAAAACAUUAAUUUAUCUCGUUUAAUGUUUAGACCAUUACAGCUUGUCUUGCUUUCCUACCAUUUUCUCUCCAAAACUGUUAGAUUAUUUUGAAACAUGACCCGAAAUACCCAUAACACCCUUUUUAAUAUUUCCUGUCAUACUUGAAUAUUUUCUGUUUUCUGCCCGUUCCUAGACACAACAUGUAAAAAAAGGGUUUACUAGUAACAGUCGAAAGAUUGAGGAUGUUUUUCAAGAAGGUGAAACGCCAAUUGCGAUAUUUUCGAAGAUUUUUUGCAUUUAAGCCUUAAAUAGUUUCUAAUAGUUCCCGCACAUGAAUUAUGGCCUAGGAGGGUAACGCGCUGACGGUCUAAAUUAAGGGUUUUAUUUUCAUCGGGAGAACAUGCAAAUACUCUGAUAUUUCUUGCAUGCUGUUUGGAAUUUAGCUUUGAUUGCAUUAAUUUUCUCAACCAAAUACCAGCUUGAUCUUUUUCGCUAUUCAAGAUCUAGAUGGCUUGAUUCUCUGUGCCUCUCUCUCUCCCCCUCAGGUUGUGGUUGGGAGUUUCUUGCCGAGCUACCAGCUGGAGCAGAAGGCGAAGAAGCCAAGGCUAGAUCGCGUACCCGCGUCUACGCCCACAUCAGCCCCAGCUCCGAUUUCCGCUGCAGAUAUGGAGGAGACUUACAGCAGCGGACAAGGGCCGCCGCGCAGUUCAGCACCGUCAAAGUUCACCAUCACUACAUCUUUCAGAGGCGACAAUUGGUCUUCCCCUCUGCAGUCUGUGCCCGACUCGAGAAACUCCGCGACGGAUGUCAAAAUCUCCAUACCCGGCGCGUGAAAGAUCCGAAACUAAGAAACGCUUCCCUUCACAGUUGCCGCCUCCAUUGGCGGAACAAAGCAGUAGGAACUGACUCAUCUAACUUUGUAAAACUUAUUUGCAUGGAUUUUAUUAUUUAUAGGACAGCGAACUUGGAAGAAGGUUUCUUUGUAGGUUGUUGUUCAUGAUUUUCUGCCUUCAGUUAAUUACCCUGCGGAUGUUUAAUUUGUGACUCAUGCGUUUUUCAUUCGAUGAUGUCUAGAUUCUAUCAUUACUAUUUUCGGCAAUUCUUUUCUUUUCAUUAUUAUUAUUAUUGCGUAAGUUUUUGGUGGUUUCAGUGUAUUAUUUUUAUCCAGAUUUUUCUAGCUUCGUCUAGGGGGGCACAUAGAUCGAAUGGGAUCGUGAGAUACCCCGUUAUGAUGCCAUGUCGAGAAAAUGGUUUUUUGUGUGUUUUUUUUUUUUUUUUUUUUUUUUCCUUCUUUUUUAUAGGUAAAAAGUUUUAAAAAGAUUUUUCAUACGUGAAUUAUGUAGAUUCUAUAUAUCUGCUAAAAUUUGGAGGAAUUUUGUGAGUUUUGUGGCAUAAUAAGACGUAUAUUUAGUGAAAGGAUACAAUUAUGAAGAUUUGCCCUAAUUAUUCAUGGUAAGUCAAUUAUAGUUUUAAUAUUUUACUCAAUUUUUAUCCAGUUACGAUUUUAAAGCCCUUCGAAAUAGGAUCUGGAUGUAGGAUUUUGGUGAAUUGAAAAUAGAGGAGGUUAAAAAACAUGGAAUAGGGAAACUUCGCAGGUGUCAUCAUGUAAGAAGAUUUGCUGAGAGAACCAGAUAACAGAGCUUUAUUCACUGAUUUUUAGGGUUUUAGGGUCGCAAAAGCCCAUGUGGUGCUCGCUUGCUUUCCUUCGCAAAGUGAGCAAGCCUGUCUCCAACAUUUUAGCAUGGAUCUACUUAUAAGAAGGCAUGUUUGAUAGCCCGAAAAUGACUAAAGUGAAAAAGUAAUCUUUAUAAAAGUGACUUCUGAGUUCGAUUGUUUGAUUGGCUAGGCAGUGAAAUAUAAAAAAUUAUAGUUUUAUAGUUUUCAUUAUUUUAUCAUAUAAAAAGAAGUGAGAACAGAGUUGAACUACUAUACUUUUGGAAGCACCAUUUUUCAACUUUUUAAGCCUUCAAAUCCUUACUAUUGCAGAGCACCAAUUAACAAACUUUAUAGGGAUCCAAGGAUCUAAAAGUUAGAAGUAUAUACUUCCAAAAGUAUAUAGCCUAGACAAAUGACUUACAUUCAUAAUUUAAAUUCAAAUAUAUAUUUAGAAUUCAAAAUUAAAUUUUAAAUUUCGAAUAUAAAUUAUAUUUAUAAAUAAAAUUUAAGAUAUAUAAUUAAAUUUACAAUUUGAAUUUAAAGUUAAGUUACAACUCAUAAUUGAAAUUAAAUUCUAACAUUAAAUUGCAACUUAAAAUUAAAACAUUAAUUCAAUUUUCAAUUCGUAAUUUAAAUUUACUAUUUGAUUGUAUAUUUUGAAUUCAAAUACAAAUUCAUAAUUUGAAUUAUAAUUUAAAUUUAAAUUUGUGUUUGAAACAAUUCAAAUUGAACAAUUGAAUUUGUAAUUCUAAUUUGAAGUUCAAACUAAAACUAAUCAUUGAAACUAAAUUCAAAAUGCAAACUUAAAUUAAAAUUAUAAGUUCAACUUAAAAAUUUAAAUUUUGAUUUCAAGUUCCAAUUUAUAGUUUCGAACAACUUGAAUUCAAAGUUCAAGUUGAAGCUCCUAGUUAACAAUAAUUUGAUUAAAAUUUAAAAUCUAAAUAUUUAAUUUAAAUUUAAAAUCAGAAUUCAAAUUUAAUUAAAAUUUUAAAUUUAAAUAAAAAUUUAAAAAUUUUGUGUUGGAUUUGAGUUAUAAAUAGAAUACAGAAUGUGAAAUUAAAUUGAUGAUUUUAAUUCAAAUUUAAAUUAAAAUCUAACUUCAAAAUAAAUUCAAAGAUUAAAAUUAAGACCAAACAUAGCCUAUUAGAUAGGCUCUCUAAUUUUGAUGAUUUUGAAAUUUUUUGAACUAAAGGUAGAAAAGUUAUAACUUACUUUAUCAAUCUACUUUUAUAAAGUAUCUUUUAGAUACAUUUUCACGAAUCAACUAAUCAAUAAGACAUCACAUUUUUGAGAAGUGCUAUUUUCGAUAUUUCACUUUCACCAAAUCAAACAUGUCUUAAAACUAUGUAGCAAGAAAGAGAGAGAAAAGUUCUUUUAAGAUAUUGUUUGAUUCGGAAAAAAGCAAGAAUUGCUUAUUUUUGGGAUAAGUACAACUUCUGAGAUAAGCAAAAAAUAAGAUCAAUUUUUGAAUUUAGAUAAAACUAGAUUAUUCAUAAGAACAAAAAAAUAUUAGCAUUUGGAUAGUUAGAUUGGAACAGCAGGAAUAAGAGUAAUUAUAAUUUUAAAAUAAUAGUAUUUUACCUAAUUAAUAAACAUUAAAAUAUUAAUUAAAUAAUAAUUUAUUUAAUUAAUAAAUUAAUUAACAAUAAAUACCAUACAAGAUAAUGGAGAAGUAUAUUAAUUAAUUAAUUAACUAUAAAAAAGUUAACUUAGUAGUUAAUUUGUUAACUAUUUAAUUAGUUAGAUAAUAGUUAAGCAAUUAAUUAGACUAGCCAAAACAUUGUUGGUUAAUCAAUGUAAAUAUCAGUUGAUGUCUAAACUACAUAAAUAAUUAAUUUUUAAUUAGAUAAAUAAUUAUAAAUAAUAAAUUAAUUAGUCAAAUAGUUAAAUUAUUGAUUAAUUUUAUAAAUUAAGGACAUUUUUGGUUCGCCCAUUUUUUAUAUAGGAAUCGGAAUCGAAAUGCAUGAUUUCGUUUGUAAAUAUUUGGUAUCUCAACUAUCAUUCCAAUUUCAAUUCCUGGGUGGAAUGAGAAUCUUCCGAUUUGGAAGUUGAAUUCAAGCAGAAUGGAUGUUUAUUCGGAUUAUAUUUUAACCUUAUUUUUUAAUUAAAAUAUAAAUUUAAAUUUAAAAAUAAAAUUUAUAAUUUUAAAUUUUAAUUUGAACUUCAAUUAAAAAAUAAAAUUUAAUCAAGCGUUUCAAAUUUAAUUUAUGAAUUUGCAUUUAAAUUAAAAUUUAAUUUAAAAUUUAAAGUUUUAUUUAAAUUUUAUUUAAAAUUUAAGUCAAAUUUUAUGGAUUCAAAAUUGAAAUUUAAAUUGUAAUUUUUAGUUUGAAUUUGAAUAAAUCAAAAUUUAGUUUUAUAUUUUGAAUUAUCCACUCAAUUUCAAAUUUUAAUUUUUUAAAAAAUAUAUUUAAAAUUUAUACAUCAUUUUAAAAUUUUGAUGUAAAUUUUUAAUAUUUAAUUUUUCGUUUGAAUUUAAAUUAUAAAAUUCUAUGUUUUGAGUUACGAACUCAAUUCUAAAUUAUCUUACCAAUCCAAAUUCAGAUGGAUCUAAUAGAAAUGUUUAGAUUUUUUUUUUAUUUACAAUGUCAUAGUUUUGAGGAAUUUUAUAUGAAAUUUUAAUAACAAAUUUUUUUCAGACUAUUUGGAAUAAUGAUGUCACGCCCCGGGACAGGCGGAGGCCCUCCCGGUAGCGCGCCCAGACCCGCCAUAUAUUAGCACAUAUAAGGCGUCUACAACAACAGCGAAAAAUAAAAUCAAAGAUGAUCUACAACUAGAGAUAUCAGAGUAAGUAUACAUCUAUCAUCUAUAACAAAAGUAAAUAAAGCGUAACUAAACAAUAAAGGUAAAACAUAGAGUUAUACAAUAAUCAUCUCCAAAAGGGUACACAAAAAAAGGUGGUAUCUAUAUAUGGAUAUAACUCUUAACCUCUCCAAAAAGAAAACAACGAGAGGUAGACCACCUAACAACGCGUCCCUCGAUAGCAAGCUAGCUCGAGGUGAUACUCUUUCUGCGGUCCCUAGCCUCUCCCGGCGUGGAAGGCUCUGAAAUAAGACAUAAAACAGAGGGCGUGAGAAACUAUAAUUUAUAGUUCCCAGUGGGCAAUUACUGACCUCAGUUCAUUGCACUACUAGCCCCAAAAGAAAAUGGUAAGUACGGAAAAGAAGAUAAUAAUAAUAAUAAACUGUAAGUGUAAGAGCAAGUAAUGUUUGCUAAAUUUACUAUGCCAUAAACCAUAAGAUGUCAAUGUAUCGUGCAUGUAUUCUAUCAGGUUGUAGUAUAUCCAAUGCAUGACUACUAUGUCCCAACGUGGCAAGAAAGUAGAUAACAUGAUCCAUUCUAUCAAUAUAUGAUGAUUAUGCUCUAUCAUGGCAACUAAAUAUACUAUGAUGCAAUAGGUAAAUUAUCAAGUAUACUACAUGUCUCAACACUGUGCCAUAAGCAUGUCAAAGUAAUCCAACUACUAAUCCUAUCUAGUAGUGAUUGUCAUUUCCCGAUUCAAUAUCAUCGUUUAAUCAUGUUCUAGGACCUACAUAAAUGUAGUCCAGCUUGUGCCACCUAAGUGUCAGUGGUAGCUCCAGCAUUCCCACUCUAGGAAUGAGUCUAUCCCUACCGACCCCAUAGGUUUCUCGAUACCGCACGAGCGAGCAUAAGUCACGUAGGCCAACUCCGGAGUCCGGCUUGUAGGGAGCGACCCUCACAAGCAUGUGCGAAUGAGCACAAAUGACAAGCAAGCGUAGUCAACGUCUCAAAAGUCCAAUCAUCAUGUCUCUAAUAUGGUAAAAGUCACUAGCAUCUCAAAAAUCUAGUUCAAUGUCUCAAUGUGAAGUUUUAACGGUUCAAUAAAUUCCAUGUCAUUGACCUUAGCUUCACUAUGUCCAUAUGUAUUCCAAGCCUAAUGCCUCUUUAUGACAUUAGCUUACGAUAUUAUACAUCAUGUACAUCUAUGCCCCUUUAUGGCAUUAUAUCACACUAUGUCCAAAUCUUGUUCUAACACUAAUGCCGCUUUAUGACACUAGGUUUCACUUGUCCCAAGUACAUUACAAGCUCAAUGCCCCUUUAUGACAUUGGCUCAGUAGUUUGCAAACAACACAAGUCCCAAGCCUAUUUAUGGCUUACCCAAAUCUCUUAAGUCUCAUCUAGGUAUAGAUUCGAAUACAUAAUACAAUUCUCAUUUUCACUAUCGGAAAUCAAGGUUCCAAGUUCAAAUAGAAUGCCCAACACAUGCACGAGUCAUUUAUACAAGUUCUCUACUACAUAGAGAUCCGAAAAUUCAUUGUACAUAACAUAGGCAUGUUAAGCAUUCUAAAAUUCACAAAUAAUGCAUUUAUCAUGAAUAUGCCAGAAAUUUCACUUUACGAAACAUAAAUCACCAAAUAUGAGAAUUUUUCAUAUUAUAGGCUAGGUCAAACCGACCGAAACUUGCGUAACCCUUCGUUUACCCCAACGAGGGUGUCCACUAGCCUCCUAGCACCCUAAAGAUGUAGGAACAAGGGUCAAACCGACCGAAACUUGCGUAACCCUUCGUUUACCCCAACGAGGGUGUCCACUAGCCUCCUAGCACCCUAAAGAUGUAGGAACAAAGGUUAAACGAAUCUUACGAUCAACCCUAAACUCAAACAUUAGCCUACUCAAGCUAAGGUGGAGAAAACUCACCUCCAGAGUAAAAUCUCUUUUCAAGCUUCAAAGGAGAGCUAGAACCCUUCCAAUCCAACCUAAAGAAAGGUUCUAAACCAAGUGAUUAAACUCCAGAAGCCCUAAAUCAAAAAUACCCAAAAUUAACUAAAACCUCAUUCUAGGGUUUCAUCUCAACGAAACCAUCAAAUCUUGAAAUCUUGGGGAGAAAACAAGUUGCUUACCUCUUAGAAGCUUCAAUCCAAGCUCAAAACCCUCUAGGUCCAAAGAUCUUUCCUCAACCAAGCUUUAAAACCAAGCCUCAACCUUCAACCAUGGUGGAAAUGCACCAAGAGGGAAGAAGAGAGAGAUUAAUCUACCAAAAUCCAAGAGAAAUGGAUAAAAUCACUAUUGAGGGACAAGGAGAAGCUCCCUUACGUCAAUUCCCUGUGUUCCCAGCUCAGGGAAAUGCCCUAGGGGCGUGGGGACACAUAUAGAGAAGCCACUUUGCAAAAACACCCCUGCAGUUCGACCAUUCAGAUUCUGCCGCAGUGUACCGGUACACGGGUCCGCGUACUGGUACAGCCAUCAACCCUGUACCGGUACAGCCAUCAACCCUGUACCGGUACGCAGCCCCGAAAAUAACAAUCUGAGAGCAGUCUAAGUUCUCCACUUUGGCGACCUUAGCGCUACUUAAAAUACUACAAAUCUCGAGAUACGAGCCAUAGGUCGAAACACUGUCGACGACCCACCAGAAAAGCUGAAAAAACUCAGAACACAAGCCAAACACUCCAACCUCGCAAUUUGCAAAGGUACAUUGUGUUACAUUCACCCCUCCUAAAAGGGAGUUUCAUCCGCGAAACUCGAAAAGUAAAGUACCUCAAGCCUCCAUCUGAAAGAGAUGGGGAUCGCGCUCCUACAGUGCGCUCUCUAAAUCCCAAGUUGCCUCGCGUUCAUCGUAGCUGUUCCAAAGCACCUUCACAUAGGGAAUCUCACGGUUUCGCAGUCUUUUCACCUCGCGAGCCAAAAUCCUCAAGGGUUGCUCUUCAAAGCUCAAUUCCUCCUUCAGCUCCAAUGGCGUCGCUUCAAGCACAUGAGCUGGAUCAUGGAUGUACUUUCGAAGGACCGAUACAUGAAAAAUAUUGUGCAUACCCGAUAGGUUCGUAGGUAACGCAAGUUGAUACGCUACAGGGCCUACACGCUCCAAUACCUCAUACGGCCCAAUGUAUCGGGGGCUCAACUUGCCCUGGAUGCCAAAUUUUCUAAUCCCUUUGGUCGGCGAGACUUUCAAGAAAACAUGAUCACCAAUCUGAAACUCCAAGUCCCGUCGACGCUUGUCAGCAUAACUCUUUUGCCUACUCUGUGCUGUCAGCAAACGCUCCCGAGCAAUGCGAACCUUGUUCUCUACUUCCUGAAGCACAUCGGGGCCUAAAGCCAAUCUCUCGCCGACUUCACUCCAAUGAAGUAGCGAUUUACACUUCCGUCCAUAGAGUGCCUCGAAAGGUGCCAUCUUGAUGCUUGCUUGAUAACUGUUGUUAUAAGCAAACUCCGCCACCAGUAGAUGCUGCGACUAUCCUCCCAGGAAGUCUAUCACAUAGGCUCGAAGCAUAUCCUCAAGAGUCUAUAUAAUGCGCUCUGAUUGCCCGUCAUUCUGGAGGUGGAAAGCUGUACUGAAGUCUAAGCGCGUACCUAAAGCAUCCUGUAAGCUCCUUCAAAAGUGAGAUACAAAUCGGGGAUCUCGAUCUGAUACUAUAGAAGUAGGUACCCUGUGCAAUUGCACAAUCUCAUCCAAGUAUACAUGUGCGAGUCUCUCACCAGUCCAAGUGGUGUGGAUAGGUAUGAAAUGUGCCGAUUUCGUCAACCUAUCCACGAUCAGCCAAAUAGCAUCAUGCCCGGCCUGUGAGCGGGGCAAUCCUAUCACGAAGUCCAUAGUGAUCUUCUCCCACUUCCAUAUUGGAAUCGGUAAGCUCUGCAACUUUCCCGCAGGAACUCGGUGCUCACCUUUAACCUGUUGGCAAGUUAGACAUCUACCAACAAACUCACCAACGUCUUUCUUCAUCCCGGGCCACCAAUAGAGCAACUUCAAGUCCUUGUACAUCUUGGUGCCUCCAGAUGUAUAGCAUACAGUGCUCAGUGUGCCUCUUGAAGAAUUUCUUCUCUAAGUGCCGAUUCCGCCGGUAUACAAACCCGCCUGCAGAAACGCAUCAACUCAACACCGUCCACAGAAAAGUCACCGAUGCAACCACCAACCAUCUUAGCUCGAAUCCUUUGCAACUCCACGUCAUGAACUUGCUUUUCCUUAAUCCUUUCCAAAAGUGUAGAUUGCACCGCCAAAGUCAUCAACCUCAAAGGUGUAUCAAGAGUCACCACCUCUAACUCCAACCGCUUCAUCUGCUCGAUCAACUGCGGUUGAGUAACAACAAGCAUAGCUAAGUUUUUCGUCGAUUUCCUACUUAGCGCAUUCGCUACCACGUUAGCCUUGCCCGAGUGGUAAAGUAUUGUCAAAUCAUAAUUCUUGAGUAGCUCAAAUCAUCUGCGCUGCCUCAAGUUCAACUCCUUCUGAGUGAAUAAAUACUUUAAGCUUUUGUGAUCCGUAUAGACCUCACACCGCUCGCCAUAAAGAUAAUGGCACCAUAGUUUCAAAGUGAAGACUAGGGCCGCCAACACCAAAUCAUGCGUAGGGUAAUUCCUUUCAUAAUCCUUCAGUUGGCGAGAAGCAUACGAGAUCACUUUCCCGUCCUGCAUCAGAACACAACCCAAUCCAUUAAAAGAAGCAUCACUAUAAACCACAUACUCUGCUCCAGCAACUGGUAGGGUCAGGAUUGGGGCGGUUGUCAAUCUCUGCUUCAACUCUUGGAAGCUCCUUUUACACGCAUCAUUUCAAACAAACUUGGUGCCUUUAUGCGUGAGCCUCGUAAGGGGAGUGGGUAAUCUCGCAAAUCCCUCAACAAACCGCCGGUAGUAGCCGGCCAAGCCAAGAAAACUUUGAAUCUUGGUGACACUCGUUGGCCUCGGCCAAUCCUUGAUUGCUUCAAUCUUCGUAGGAUCCACAACUAUACCUGAUCCUGAAAUCAAAUGGCUGAAAAACGCCACCUCUCUAAGCCAAAACUCACACUUUUUCAAUUUGGUAUAGGGUUCUCUUUCCCGAAGCACUUGAAGUACAAGUCUCAAGUGUUUCUCGUGAUUCACAUCACUUCGGAAAUAGACCAAAAUAAUGUCGAUGAAUACUACGACGAACCUGUCUAGAUAAGGCUUGAAAACACGGUUCAUUAGAUCCAUAAAAGCUGCUGGGGCAUUAGUAAGCCCAAAUGGCAUAACUGUAAACUCAUAAUGUCCAUAUCGUGUUCUAAAAGCCGUUUUCGACACAUCCUCAGGUUUGAUCUUCAAAUGGUGGUAUUCCGACUGCAAGUCGAUCUUGGAGUACACACUAGAUCCCUGAAGCUGAUCAAAAAGAUCAUCGAUCCUCGGCAACGGAUACUUGUUCUUGAUCGUGACUUUAUUGAGUUCACGAUAAUCCACGCACAAGCGAAGUGAUCCAUCCUUCUUCUUGACAAAUAGGACCGGUGCUCUCCAAGGUAAGACACUCGGUCGCACAAAAUCCUUGUCCAGAAGAUCUUGCAGCUGUGCCUUAAGCUCCUUCAGUUCCGCUGGUGCCAACCUAUAGAGCGCCUUAGAGAUUGGAGUAGUCCCGGGAAUGAGAUCUACCACAAACUCAAUCUCCCUAUCAGGUGGCAUGCCUGGAAGCUCUGCUGGAAAUACAUCUCCAAACUCCCGUACUACGGGAAUAUCUUCAAUCCUAGGGGUGUCUACAUCGCCCUGCAACACAAUAGUAGCCAAAUAGGCUACGCAGCCUCUGCUGAUCAACUGUCUAGCUCGAGAGGAGCUAAUCGUCAUCGCAAACAGCGAAUUCUGGCAUCCUCGGUACACAACCUCCGCCUGCCCCGGCUCUCUAAACGACACAGUUCGAUUAUUGCAAUCGAUAGUGGCGUAGUACUUGGUCAACCAGUCCAUACCCAAAAUAACAUCAAACUCUCCGAGUUUAUGCAAAGCUAGCAAGUCUACGGGCAUGAUCCAAUCUCCAACCCGAACAUGGCAACUGGGACAAAUCUCUCUAAUGUCCAAGGAGUGGUCGGGAACAACAACACGUCCCAGAUGCAACAAGAAAAUAAGUGGGAUGCAAUGAACUCGGCAAAUAGCCGGUCUAUGAAUGAAUGUGAUACACCGGUAUCAAAUAAUGCUUGUACUCGAAUACCAUAAAGUAAAAUGAUACCUGCAACGACAUUCUCGGUCGCUGCCACUUCCUCCGUCUGGGCCGCAUACAUGCGCCCGCUCGGGGCCUGUCGUUACCCCUCUGUCUGCCGCGGAACAGGUGGCCGCCCGGCCUGGUGGUGAGCAGAAAGUGUCCCCUGACUAGGACCUGGUGAUGCUGGUGCAGAUGCCGAAAAUGGCGCUGGCGUGAACUCCUCGGGCAGUCCGACUGGAAGUGGCCCUUCUGACCACACAAAAAGUACCUGCCCCGACUGUGUGAACACUGCCAUAGGUAAUGAGGACCACCGCAGAUCACGCAGCGCGGAGCUUAGCGACGAUCAGGUCCUCCUCGCUGAGUAGAUGAGCCACGUCCCCGUGAUUGGCUCCGGUUCCUGGGGUGCCUCGGCGGCCUCUGUGAGUGCGUCUGGCUCGCACCCUCAACCGCAGGCUUCUUGCCCUUCCCCUUCUCCAAGCCCUCGCGACGCUCCUGAAGGUCUGCCGCUUUAGCCUCCACAAUGAGUGCACGGUUCAAAACCUCCCGGUAGGUUUGGAGGUUGGAGGACUGCACUAACCGAAAGAUCGAAGGCCACAAUCUACGCUAAAAAAUGCGGGCCUUGUCAUCGUCAUCCCGUACCACAAAAGGUACACAGUGAAGUAGCCGAGAAAACUCCCUCUCGUACUCGGCCACUGUCUGCUCCUCCUGGCCUAAGCUGCGCAAGUCCUGCUCCAUCUUCCUCUUGACGUUAAUAGGGAAGUAGUGCGCCAGAAGAAACUCCUUGAAUCUCGUCCAAAAAAUCACUGCCAAAUCAGUAUUGGGGUUGUCCAAGAUAUCCAACCACCAACGAUAGGCCUCGCCGCCCAAGUGAUGUGUGGCGAGCCAAACUCUAUCCUUUUCCUCAACAAAGGUAUCUCGAAAAAGCUUCUCCAUGUGCAUCAACCACUUCUCAACAAUCCACUGGUCGACCUUCUCGCCGUCAAAGAUCCUCGGACUGCACCUCCUGAACUCGCUGAGGCGAUCCAUGAGGCGAUCCCGCUCGACUCCCUCGGCCAUCACAGGGAAAGCUGCUCUCGCCGCAGGUAUCUGAACCAGUGGUGUUGCGACCACUUCCUCCCGAGGUGUGGUCUCGGGCACCGCACGCGAAGAACUGGGCGAGGGGGAUUACGCCCUUGGCGCGACGUUCACAACGGGCGCUGGUGGUGUGGGAACCUGAGUCUCCCUAGAAGCUGCCGCCUGCUGUAGCAAGAGAUCCUCCAGGUGCUUCAUCCGCGCCUCCUGCCGUUGCGCCACCUCGGCCUGUCGCUGAGCGGCCGCCGCCUGCUGCGCUACAAGAUCAGUGAGGACUGCAAGCUGAGACCUCAAGUCGCGGACCUCGCUAGAUCAGGAAGUAGCGGAGGUCUCAACCUCCUCGAGGUGUGCCACAUCAUCCACACCGGCAGAUUGGGAGUGUGUAAUCGGCAUCGUCACUACAACAUCAUAAAAGUGUAAGUUAGUAAACCCACGCUGUCGAAUCCCCGCUCAAAUAAACAAUACCCAAAUUAUGUGAAAGUAAGGAAGUGUUAUCCACAACUAACUCCCGAUGUUACGUUGUCGGCCACCAACGUAACCCUCCGCGAAGUUAGAAACCCAAUCAUAAUACUUUCGCUUACAAAUCGAAUAGACCUCGUCUCUCACGAGCCCAUUUCUUAUAGUCCAACCAGCCUAAGGUUUGCUAAGUCCACUAAGACUCAACCCUAGGCUUUGAUACCAAACUAAUCUGUCACGCCCCAGGACCGGCGGAGGCCCUCCCGGUAGCGCGCUCAGACCCGCAAUAUGUCAGCACAUAUAAGGCGUCUACAACAAUAGCGAAAAAUAAAACUAAAGAUGAUCUACAACUAGAGAUAUCAGAGCAAGUAUACAUCUAUCAUCUAUAACAAAAGUAAAUAAAGCGUAACUAAACAAUAAAGGUAAAACAUAGAGUUAUACAAUAACCAUCUCCAAAAGGGUACACAAAAAAGGGUGGUUUCUAUACAUGGAUACAACUCUCAACCUCUCCAAAAAGAAAAUAACGAGAAGUAGACCACCUAACAACGUGUCCCUCGAUAGCAAGCUAGCGCGAGGUGAUACCCUUUCCGCGGUACCUAGCCUUUCCCGGCGUGGAAGACUCUGAAAUAAGACAUAAAACAGAAGGCGUGAGAACUAUAAUUUAUAGUUCCCAGUGGGCAAUUACUGACUUCAGCUCAUUGCACCACUAGGCCCCAAAAGAAAAGGGUAAGUACGGAAACGACGAUAAUAAUAAUAAUAAACUGUAAGUGUAAGAGCAAGUAAUGUUUGCUAAAUUUACUAUGCCAUAAACCAUAAGAUGUCAAUGUAUUGUGCAUGUAUUCUAUCAGGCUGUAGUGUAUCCAAUGCAUGACUACUAUGUCCCAACGUGGCAAGCAAGUAGAUAACAUGAUCCAUUCUAUCAAUAUAUGAUGAUUAUGCUCUAUCAUGGCAACCAAGUAUACUAUGAUGCAAUAGGUAAAUUAUCAAGUAUACUACAUGUCUCAAUACUAUGCUUUAAGCAUGUCAAAGUAAUCCAACUACUUAUCCUAUCUAGUAGUGAUUGUCAUUACCCAAUUCAAUGUCAUCGUUUAAUCAUGUUCUAGGACCUACAUAAAUGUAGUCCAGCUUAUGCCACCUAAAUGUCGGUGGUAGCUCCAUCAUUCCCACUUUAGGAAUGAGUCUAUCCCUCUCGACCCCGUAGGUUUCUCGAUACCGCACGUGCGAGCAUAAGUCGCAUAAACCAACUCCGGAGUGCCGGCUUGUAGGGAGCGACCCUCACAAGCAUGUGCAAAUGAGCACAAAUGGCAAGCAAGCGUAGUCAACAUCUCAAAAAUUCAAUCAUCAUGUCUCUAACAUGGUAAAAGUCACUAGCAUCUCAAAGAUCUAGUUCAAUGUCUCAAUGUGAAGGUUUAACCGUUCAAUAAAUUCCAUGUCAUUGACCUUAGCUUCACUAUGUCCAUAUGUAUUCCAAGCCUAAUGCCUCUUUAUAACAUUAGCUUACGAUAUUAUAUAUCAUGUACAUCUAUGCAAAUUUAUGGCAUUAUAUCACACUAUGUCCAAAUCUUGUUCCAACACUAAUGCCGCUUUAUGACACUAGGUUUCACUUGUCCCAAGCACAUUACAAGCUCAAUGCCCCUUUAUAACAUUGGCUCAGUAGUUUGCAAACAACACAAGUCCCAAGUCUCUUUAUGGCUUACUCAAAUCUCUUAAGUCUCAUCUAGGUAUAGAUUCGAAUGCAUAAUACAAUUCUCAUUUUCACUAUCGAAAAUCAAGGUUCCAAGUCCAAAUAGAAUGCCCAACACAUGCAUGAGUCAUUUAUGCAAGUUCUCUACUACAUAGAGAUCCGAAAAUUCAUUGUACAUAACAUAGGUAUGUUAACCAUUCUAAAAUUCACAAAUAAUGCAUUUAUCAUGAAUAUGCAAGAAAUUUCACUUUACGAAACAUAAAUCACCAAAUAUGAGAAUUUCUCAUAUUAUAGGCUAGGUCAAACCCACCGAAACUUGCGCAACCAUUCGUUUGUCCCAACGAGGGUGUCCACUAGCCUCCUAGCACUCUAAAGAUGUAGGAACAAGGGUUAAACGAAUCUUACGAUCAACCCUAAACUCAAACAUUAACCUACUCAAGCUAAGGUGGAGAAAACUCACCUCUAGAGUAAAAUCUCUUUUCAAGCUUCAAAGGAGAGCUAGAACCCUUCCAUCCAACCUAAAGAAAGGUUCUAAACUAAGUGAUUAAGCUCCAAAAGCCCUAAAUCAAAAAUGCCCAAAAUCAACCCUAAAAUCUCAUUCUAGGGUUUCAUCUCAACGAAACCAUCAAAUCUUGAAAUCUUGGGGAGAAAACAAGUUGCUUACCUCUUAGAAGCUUCAAUCCAAGCUCAAAACCCUCUAGGUCCAAAGAUCUUCCUUCAACUAAGCUUUAAAACCAAGCCUCAAGCUUCAACCAUGGUGGAAAUGCACCAAGAGGGAAAAAGAAAGAGAUUAAUCCACGAAAAUCCAAGAGAAAGGGAUAAAAUCACCAUUGAGGGACAAGGAGAAGCUCCCUUACGUCAAUUCCCUGUGUUCCCAGCUCAGGAAAAUGCCCUAGGGGCGUGGGGACACAUAUAGAGAAGCCACUUUGCAAAAACACCCCUGCAGUUCGACUAUUCAGAUUCUGCCGCAGUGUACCGGUACACCGGCCCGCGUACCGGUACAGCCGUCAACCCUGUACCGGUACAACCAUCAAACUUCGAGGGUCACUAAUGGUAGCCGUUCUAUAUCCCAACGCGUUUCCCUAGGAGGAUCUUUGACAAGGUCAAAGAGAAGGGAAUGCGGCUCCCAACAAUUUUUGACACACCCGGUGAGACAUCUGCUUAGGUGAAUUUAUAUUUUUGUUGAAUACACAGUGACUGGUCGGCUGAAAGAGCCGAAUGUCUUUAUAUAUUAAAAUAAAGUUGGAAACUCAUACAAAACAAAGUAUGCCCGAAGGGCAUACAGACUCUGAAAAUCUAAAUUACAACAGAGUGUGCCCGUGGGGCAUACAGACUCCGGAGAUCUAACUUAAAAACUACUCCUAGGAAAGCAAUAAAUGCGGGUAAAAAAGAUUACAUGUAGAUUACUCCUAAAAAAUAAUAAAUGCAGAAAAGAAAAGUAUUAAAAAUACGAUGGUCUUCUCGUUCAGGGGAGAGAAAAGCCUCUAUUACAGGCUUCAAAGUUACUAUUUAUAAUAUCUUAUCAGCCCACAUUAUUGGUUGGUUAUAGUAGUGGGGAAAGAGGUGUAGCCAUGAUCAUGGAAGUUACGCCCCACUUCUCAACUAUUUCCGCCUAAACACUCUUGACCUGGAGGCGUCUUAUUGUCCACUCCUGGUGUACCAUGUGUCCUUAUUUCUUUGGCUCAUACGUGGGUUAGGUUGGCGUCUUAAUUUUUUGGUAUCAACAACAGUUUUGGAAGAGCCUCUGUCAGGCUCUUAGCAAUUAGCAUAACUUAAAAUCAACAUUCCAUCGCUAGUGUAAUGACCAAACGGAGUGUAUAAAUCAAACUCUCGAGGAUAUACUCCGAGCUUAUGCGCUAGACUAUGGUGAUUUUUGUCACAAGUACCUCCUACUCAUGGAGUUUAUCUAUAAUAACAGCUACCAAUUGAGAAUCAGAAUAGUACCCUACAAGGCUUUAUAUGGGAGGAAAUGCUAAUCAUCGAUUUGCUGGGGUGACGUAGGCAAGAGGAAGCUUCUUGGGCCAUAUGUAGUUGUGUACACCGAGGAAAAUACCUAGGUUUCUAGGUAGUGGCUUUUGACUGCUUAGAGCUAGCAAAGAGUUAUGCAGAUCAGUAGCGAUACGAUUUGGAAUUCUAGGUUGGGGAUCAUGUGCUUUUUAAAGUUUCGGUAACAAACUUCUUUUUUGGGGGCGAAAGAUACAAUAGCCUAUAUCUUUGAACUCCAUUCUUGUGGAGUUUCAACGAAAGUGUUUGAGGGCUUCAAGUUUUGUAGACAUCUGUUGAGGUUCCAGAACCUUAGAGUGUUUUCGAGAAUAAAGACACAUUCUAGAACCCAGGCAUUAGGCUGAGAAGGCUAAGAGCUUGUCAUGCCUUAGGGCCUAUUUUGUAAAGUCUUUUCCAAAAAAGGACCAAUUUAAAAAUAGAGUUAGCCAAAAAAUGCUAAUUUUUUUAUAAACAACCUUGUCCACGAGAUGGAUAGACCUACCAUAAAUACAGGGAUUUCUCUAUCUAUACGGACAGAAUUUGCACGACAUACCACAUGUUAUAAUACCUUUACAACCAACCAGUUUCAUUCAUAUACUAACAAGCAGCAAUCAGAAUGUAGAUACUCAUACAGCUAACCAUACCUAGCAAGAUGAUGCAUAUCCUAAACACUCCUUAUGCAAUUAUGAUGCAAAUGCAGCAAUACUGUGACACCCUAACUUCCCAGGGGGUCACCCAUCCUAGAACUACUCCUGUCCUAGCAUGCUUAAUUCUCUUAACCUCUUAGGUCUAACCAGCACCCAAAAUACUUUAAGCCGGGUUGAGAGUUUUAGUCUUAUUAUAUCUUAUAUAUAAGACUAUUUGGGGUCUCACAUUCUCGCCCCCUUAAGCCCUGACGUCCUCAUCAAGCUCAGACUCACAAGUACUAGGCGAUGUGAGACUCAUCUCCCUAGCCUAAACUGACCUUAUGGUAAGCUACUCUCCACCCACAACAGUCAACAAUAUGAGAGCCUCGCUCUCCCUACUGUAUAAUCCUGGCUCAGCCUAGACUCAUCUCACACUUUUAGCUAGUAAUUAUCUCUGAUACCAACUGUGAUACCCCAACUUCCCAAGGGGUCACCCAUCCUAGGACUACUCCCGUUCUAGCACGCUUAACUCUCUUAACCUCUUGAGUAUAGCCACCACUCAAAAUACUUAAGCCGGGUUAAGAGUUUGUCCUAUUAUAUCUUAUAUAUAGAACUAUUUGGGGUCUCACAAAUACAACAAACAUCAUAUCAUUUGAAAGUAUUUUCCUUCAGAGAAUUUUAUUUUCAAAACUAAGAUAAAUUAUAAAAUCGAAAAAUUGUUCCUACACGAAAACUCAUCUUUUGAAAACUUGGUACCACGAGGGGUAAAAAAUAUUUUAACCAUAAAACCACAACUACACAAUAGUCGUAAAACUACAGUUUCAUUAUCCUUAAUCAAGCAAAUAAGGAUAAUAAAGCAUUCACUUAACUAAAACACAAAGUCUAAUUUAUUUAACAAUGAUCAUAAGAGUAAGGAAUGAAAUGACCGUAAUCAAUGGCUAGGUAAGCAUGGAACCAGUAGAACUCACUAACUACUCUAAACCUAACGCACCAUCCCGAUCCUUAUCGCUUGUGUCACCUAUAAAAACAGGGGGUAAGAAACCAACCUAAAGUGUGAUGUGUCCUCAUGCAAAACUGUGUAAUGUUAUUUUUCUCAGGUGAAUUCAAUAUAUUGGUUUUUUUCACGCUUUGGACGAAUAGAAAAAACUCUGUCCGUUCGGCAGGUCUGUGCACGCACCCGCAUAGCCUCCGUUGUGCAAUGGGACGGGGCAUGACAUUAAGGUUUUUUAGUGGGUACCGUAAGUCGACAAGGGAAAAUGUACUCAUUGGCAAGCAAAAGAUAGUUAUAGCGAGGUAUGAAACGAUAACAAAUACAGUAGCAAAUAGGAACAAAAAAGAAAUAACAAUAUGUAGAUAUUUAGCUGCUACUAUAAUCUACAGAUGAUGCAUCAAUCGGACAAAUAGUUCAAAAGCAUCCAAUCUGUUUGCCAUGUUGGUCUAAAAACCUCGAGCAAUGCUUUGUUCUAUACCUGGCUCAUGACUUUAACAAUAGAUCGCAUAGGGUUUAUGGGUCGGGAGUAGGGAUGCAAACGGGGCGGAUCUAGGGGCGGGAGUCCCGCCCCGCCUCCCGCCCCGAAUCCGUAAUGGGUUAAAAAAUACAUCUCAUAAUCCGCCCCGCCUCGUAACCCGCCUCCUGUCGGCGCCCUGAAUCCGCCCCGCCAACUAAUAUUUUUUAUAAAAUUAUAAUAUUAUUAAUAUUUUUUAAAUUAUAAAUUAAUAAUUUUUAAUAAUAUUACAUAUAUAAUUUAACAAUAUUAAUUAUAAAAAUCAAAAAUAUCAAUCAUAAUUCAAAACAAAAAUUAAAAGUUUCAAAUACAUUAGAAAUGAGAGUACUAACUUAUUUGUAUUUUGAACUUUUUUUGUAAAUACAUUAUUUUUUAAGAAUAUUUUUUAAAACAUAAAUGAUUUUCGGGGCGAAUUCGGGACGGAUUAUGGCGGGGCGGAUUCGGGGCGGAUUCGGAGCGGGUCAAAAUUUCUCCCAUUUCCUGCCCCGAAUCCGUUUAUUUUCUCCUAUUUACUGCCCCCGUCGGGGCUGAUUAGGGCGAGAGCUCCACCAACCCGGAUCCGUUUGCAUCCCUAGUCGGGAGUACGACCACUUUUCUGAAAAAAAGCACCAAUGCGGUGGCAAAACUGCUGGUGUAUGUGAAAUGCACACGAGUUAUUGUUGCGAUCGAUUCAGUAUGACUAAUAGCCAACCGUUAGCAAGCUGACACGAGAUCCCCGAAAGGAAAAGUACCGACCAAUCAGGUCACCUAAUCUCAUAUAUAUACAUUACCAACUAGUAGGUCAAACAUAUCAAAAUUGAUAAUAAUAUCCAAUGUCAUACUGCUCUACAACUAAGUUAUGAUGAACAUGUGUAAUAAUAAAGUAGAGCAAUAAAAGAUGAAGUCAUGUAGUGAUCAAGUGUUCAAUAUGCAAUGUAUGUAAAGAGAGGGGAAUGGAUGUCACUGAGCUGUCAUUACCAGACGAAGCACCUAACUCCUAAGGUGCUCUAGAUAGUCAACCAGAUCUACGAAAGAUUCACUGAGUCAUGAACUACUCAACUAAGAAGGAUUAAACCUUGAAUGACCCAAAGUCAAUAAUCACAUAAUCCCGAAACCUUCGCAAUAUUGGUUUCUUUUACCGAUACCCGAAACCCACUAGGAUUUCUCGAAAACUCACCGAAACGCUUUAAAAACCCACCAAAAGCUCAAAAAAGUACCAAUUAACACCGUAAGUCACCAAUCGCUCGGAGACGCACUGAUUUGGGUGCCCAGGCAACAAAUACUUGAAUUAAUGUUAAAAAAUAUAUUUGACGAUAAGUAUGUCAUACCGAAUUCAUGGAAAUGCCGAAUUUGGCUCCGAAACCCUCCACUGCACACCCACUGCCUCCAGACACAUGAGACAGCGAAAGCAACCAGUCAACAGGGCUCGGUGACAAAUAUGGGGCAUUCAUGGUAAUAAAACGUUAAACCCAAAUAAAGAACGAAUUCGAUCGGUGAUUUGCCAGUAAACACAUCAAAACCCUAAAUUAUACUUCGCGAGGGCCAUCGGACCUACUAGGACCAUCAACUUAAAGGUCAAAAACUGUGGGUUCACACUGCUCGAGUCAGCCCACAAGGCCAAAAUUACAUAUAAGUCCCUAAAUUUGCAACUAUGUUCAUUAUAUAUAAAAAUAUUUUUAGGGUUUUGACUUGUUACCGAAUUUUGCAAGCUUUGAAACCUGAAUUUUGCAAGCUUUGAAACCCAAUCAUCGGUUUCGAUCAUCCUAUUCUAUGACCGAUAUUGUGGUAAAACUCACCGUCCUCGCGAUCGUGUAAACCACAAUUACCUUGUGAAGAAUUCGCCACUGCUAUAACUCUAACGAUUGUUUGGAAAAGAUUAAACUAGAAAAAUGAUAAAUAUAAUGGAUUUGAAUUUGGAUACAAGGUUGACAAUGAAAAGUACUUACAUAUAGGUCACAUCUAACCAAUUAAAUUUUAAAAAUAAAAUUUUUAAAUAGAGUUUUAAAAUAUAGUGCAGUCUAUAUGUGGUAUAUAUUAUAAUUUUAUCAUGUUGUUGGACUAGAUAAUAAGUGAAAUUAAAAGAUAUUGUUGAAAAAAGAAACUAAAUAUAAAAAUUUAUUGGAUGUUUUAAAGACCUUUCACAAGACUCGUAGAGAAGUGUUGCCAACUCCCUAGCAUGAUUAAUAAGGCCAUAUGAGUAGAAUAAAAGUUUCAUAAUAAAAUAAAAAAUAAAUCUAAUAUGUUAUCCAAAAUUUCAAAAGAUUUAAUUAUUUCUGAUUAACCAAAAUGAUCCUAUUGAUUAUAAAAAAUCCUUUCACCCCUAACAAUUUACUAACGGGAUUGAUUUUUAGAAGGACAUGUUGGGUAUUAAGAGAUAAAUUUAAAAUUUUUAAAUAGCAGUACGAGGUAUAGGUAAAUAAAAGAGUGGUUUCCUCCUAUCAUCAUUGAAACGAAUUCUUUUUUUGCAUUUAGCCCUUUAAAUAUUUUUAAUUUUACAACUAACUUUUGUAAAAUUAUAGUUACAGAAAUGAACCUUUCAUUGUUCACACAGGCAUCACACUAGACAAGGUGGGCCAAAUAUGAUAUUAAGUUGAACACAGCAAUUUAGUUUUCGUAUUCAGAACAUGGUAACCCAAUUAGCGUGUUCUUUAUGUUAAGGCAAGAUAAGCUCUUUUAAUUUUUUUUUAAAAAAAAGUUUAAGUAAAAAAGAAUAUAUCAAUUGAAUUAUCGUAUUCUAGAACAUGAUAAUUCAAUUAUCUUGUUCAACUUUUAUCCCACGUGGCAAUCGCGUGGACAAAAAGAGGAUCAAUCCUAUAUUUCAGUUUUACAGGGUUCUAUUUGUAAUUUUUUUUUAAGGGACUAAAUGCAAAAAAGUACAAUAAGAAAAGAAUAUAAAAAAAACAAGCAACAAACAAUGAUGUGAGCAACACGAGUAGUUCCAAACUUUAUUUAUCUCAAAGAAAUUUUUUUAAAUAAUAAAAUAUAAUAAUCUAGAAUAAAAAGGCAAAAAUUGAGAGAGGCAUGGGUUAUGAUGGAAGAUCAUUAUCGCGCCUUAAUAAUUGGCAACCAUCUAUGCUUACCAAAUAUUUAACAUAUUAUAGAGAAAAGAUAAAAUGGACUAUAAAUAUUUGGCUAAAUUACACUUUCGAUUCUCAAAUUAUAAAGUGUAUGAUAUUUUGAUUUUAAAACUUUAAUUUAAUAAUUAAUUCUAUUUUUUGUCUCAAUUUUUUUUAAAUUGUUACUAUCGACUUUCGCAAUCUAAUUUAUUUGACUAAAUAUCAAUAUAUUAUUAACAUAAAAGUGAUGUAAUAGUAAUGUGAUUCACACGCGAUAAUGAUUAAGAUACCGCAUCACUUCUAUAUCUGUGACAUGUCAGAAUUCGAUCACUAGAUUACAUUGUGGAACUUAAUUACAAAAAUUUAAAAAGUUUAAGCACAACAAAUAAAAGUUUUAUAACAAAAGGGCCAGAUGUCUCAUAAUUUUAGAACCCAAAGUAUAAUUUUUUUUUUGAGAAAUAGAUAGCAUGUUAUCAGUUUCGUUUAUUUUAUUUAGAAAUAAACUUCGCUGGAAAUGUAAAUCAACUAGGAUAGUUGAUUCGAACUUGGGUCUCGGAUGUCAAUUACUAAGCCCUUUGCCACUUGCUCUAGAAACCGAAAACAUAAUUUAGCCUAAAUAUUUAUAUAUAUUGUAUAAAAAAUAAUAUUUCAACAGAUAUGACUCAGCCCCCACGCCGACGCCGACGUCUCAGGUCUUGAAUGUUUGUUAAGUCUCCCUCCUGCUUAGAUCUAUUGGUGAAAUAAUAAUAAUUAUAAUAAUAAAGGUGCUUUUCUAAAGAAUAUUGUAAUGGCAUCAUUAUAAAGCUAAAGAACAUCUCAAUUAUUAUAUACUACUACAAAGGUAUUAAACAAUUAUAAAGGUUUAAAUGAUAGCUUAAUGUAAAGUUAAUGAAAUAAGGAUCUGUUUAGGGGGGUUGUUGGUUGUGGCCCACGUGAUUUAUUCAAGGCGAUAUGUAAAAUUACAGUCGGUUUAUUCAAAUCGAUUUAUAAAUAUACGAUAGAUCUAACGGUUAGGAUAUAUCUAGACACGUUCUUGAUGGACGGACGUGAUUUAAUUUUCUUACAUCAAGUUAUGUAUAAAUAUGUAAUAUGCGGGAGUCCAGAUCUAAUCCUAAUCUAAUUUUCUGUGACGGCUCUAUCUUCGAGGAUAAGAGAAUUAGACUCCAAACGUUUCGCUCUCUUACAAAUCGCAAACGAGGACAAACAACAAGUAAAGAUCGUUGUCUACAAUCCGGCUAUUGAAAUUGAAAUAAUGACAGAAAGUACGAUUUUAAUUUCUAAUAAAGUUUCAACAUGUGAUACUAGAGUCUUAUCUUUUGUCGAAUUUUCGUUUCUUUCUAAAUUUCAUUUGAUUUUUUUUUAAAUAAAUAAAUUUAUUUACUGGUUUGUGUUUACAGUGACGUCAAUCAGCCUCAAUCGAGAUCGGCGUUCGAAAAACGUGGCCUCCUGCUGUCCUCAGCGGGACCCGCAAGGGUCACAUGUACGGCCCAUUAAGGGCUUGUGUGGCCUCCUGUUGUGGUAGGCGGGGCCCAUGAGGGUCACAUGUACAACCCUAUUAGGGGCCAUACGAGCCUGCCAGGAGCAUCCCUAUGAUGCGGUCCACACGGAAAAAAAAAAGUUUAUUUAUUUAUUUUUUUUAAUAAUAUAUAUAUAGAAAGAGAGUUGAGCUAGAAUACUCUUAAAAGCACCAAAAUAUUGGUGCUUUUGAGUUUUUACUGUUUGGAUAGAGAAAUAUAAGGUUGGGAUGAUGGUGGUAGGUAUGUGAAAUAGUGUUCGAUUUAAGGGCUAUUAGUAAUCAAGGAGUAGAUCCAAGUGCUAAAAACCUAGAAGUACCAAGGGGUAAUACUUCUAAAAGUAUUCUAGCUCAUAUAUAUAUAUAUAUAUAUAUAUAUAUAUAUAGGUUGGUAUACUAUCGGUAGCAUAUAGCCCUCCAUGCUACCAAGUUGUUUUCAAUGAUGCGGCUUUCAAAUCGACGAUUGGCUCCAUUAGACUUGAUCUACACUAUUGAAAGUAUUUAAAAACUAAAUUUCAUAAUUUUUCGACAUCAUUUGGCUAGUGAUCAAAAGGUCUCAAACUUGACUAUUUUAAUGGUAGAUUUGAUGCGUUUGUGAAUUUAACGGUGUAAAACAAUCCAAAUUUGAUGAAAUUUUUAUAGAAAUUUUUUUUUUUUACUAUUUAGAGUAAGAUCAGUAUCUCUGAUCUUAACUUCAAGUCUUUUAUCAUCAUUUUUUAUGAGAUUUUUAUUUUCAACCGUUCAUUUUUAGACCACUCGUUUGAUAGGUAAAUGAUUCCGAAAAAUUAUGAAAUUUAGUUUCCAAGUACUUUCAAUAGUGUAGAUCAAGUCUAAUGGAACCGAUCGUCGAUUUGGAAGCCGCAUCAUUGAAAACAACUUAGUAGCGUGCUACCGAUAGUAUACCUCUAUAUAUAUAUAUAUAUAUAUAGAGCAGGGCUACUGUGCUCUCAGGAGCACAGAGGCCUCCGUGCUCCUGAGCCGUUUUCGAUGAUGAAAUUUUCGAAUCGACGAUCGGCUCCGUUAGACUUGAUCUAGCGCAUUUGAAGUUUCUAGAAAAUAAUUUUUGCGAUUUUUCGUUAUCAUUUACCUAGUGAUCGAAAGGAUUCAAAAUCGAUAAUUUUUAAUGGUUGAUAUCUGCAGUUUUCAAGUUUAACGGUGUAGAAGUAUUCAAAUCAGAUGAAAUUUUGAUAGAAAAUUUUUUAUAUUAGCUACAACAAGAUCUAUAUUUCUAAUCGAAAAUUUUAGUACUAUAUCACCACUUUUUAUAGGAUUUUUAUUUUCAGCCAUUAAAAAUUAUUGAUUUUGAAUCCUUUCGAUUGCUAGGUAAAUCAUAUCGAAAAAUCGCAAAAAUUAUUUUCUAGAAACUUUAAAUACGCUAGAUCAAGUUUAAACGGAUUGAUCGUCGAUUCGAAAACUCCAUCACGAAAACGGCUCAGGACACGGAGGCUCGUGCUCCUGAGAGCCACAGCAGCCCUACUCUUUCCUCUCUCUCUCUCUCUCUCUCUCUCUCUCUCUCUCUCUCUCUCUCUAUAUAUAUAUAUAUAUAUAUAUAUAUAUAUAUAUAUAUAUAUAUAUAUAUAGUUUUGGUCCAUAAUUUUCUUUACAGCGUGACCUAUUUUUGAAGAAGUCUAUAUUAAAAUCAUAUAUAACAUUUGGUAUUAUAUGAUUUUUAUUCUACUUGUUUGCUAAUUUAUUUAUGAUUAUAAAUUAGUGUGUUUAGAUUAAUAUUUUAUGGUACCAUUUUUUUUUUGUUAUUAUUCUAAAUAUACAUAAGGUUAUCAUAAAAAUUAGAGUAGGGUAUAUAGACUUCAUACAGUGUAUAAAUUUGAGUCACAUAAAUUUAUUAAGAAAAUUUUUUUGGACUUGUAUUCUUUUCCGUUGUGUUUUGGAAUAAUAUGAAAUUUCCGGUCAUUCUAUAUCAUAUGAGGAUUUGUGAGACCAAUUAUAUCUAGGAGUAGCCACAGCAUCCUAAUUAUGGUAUGUGAUCACUUACGGUAUUUUUAUAAGAUGAUAUUGAACUAAUGUUAACCCGAAAAUUCAUACGGAUUUCUAAUUUAAUUUUAAUAGUUAUUCAAUGUCAAAUAAGAUUAUUUAUAUUUUUCAUUAUCUUUAGGAUUAGCCACAGCAUACUAUAAAUAAUGACGAAUCUAUAAAAAUUUACUGAUAUUGAAUUAAAGUUUGACUAUUUAUUGCAGUCAAAUAAAUAAUAAUUUUGAAUUUUGACUGGAAUAGGAAUAGUGGAUUGAAUUUUUAGAUAACGAGUUUUCUUAUGCCCAUAGGUACAUAAACAUUAUUGUUUAGAAAUUAGUUUUCUGCUAGUCUUAUUAUUAAAGUAGAUAAAUUCUAUGCACAUAGCGCCUCUGCCCACAUGAAGAUAGAAUUUAUCUAAUCUAAAGGUUAUUAUCUUAUAGUAGGCGAUAAAAGUUAUAUAUUUUCUUUAUUUUUGCAGCUUCUUUCUCUACUGCAUUUCUCAAUGAUGUUUCUUGUAUCGCUAUGCUUACUCGGGACAACUAUUCCGAUUGUAAAGAAAGUAUUUUUUUUUUUAUUUUGGGUUAUAUAGAUUUAGACUUGGUUCUGCGCGUUCAUCAACCGCCUAAGAUAAUAGGGUCAAUGACUCCACAGUAGGAAUCUGCGCAGAAAAAAUAGGAGCGAUCCAAGCGCUUAAUUUUGAUGUUGAUAAAAUCUAGAGUAUCAAAAUUAUAAGGAGAUCAAUCCCAGAAUGUGAUAAAGCCAGUGAUUACCUAAAGGCCAUUGAGGAGUAGUUUAUCAACUCCGAUAAAGAUUUGGCAAGUACGCUGAUGAAGCGACUUUCAGGUAUUAAGUACAAUUGGGUCAAGAGUGUGUGCGAGGACAUCAUGGAGAUGCGGAAUAUAGCAGCUCAACUAAAGGCUUUAAAAGUUGAGAUCUCUGACACCUUCUUAGUCCAUCUAAUUCUAAACUCGUUACCAUCUGAGUUUGACUUCUUUAAGAAGUCAGUUUAGUUGCCAAUAAAGAAUUAUGGUAAGGAAGAUCAAUGCUAUUUCUGUAAAAAGAAAGGGCACAUGAAAAUGGACUAAUUGAAGUAUAAAGCUUGGCUCGAGAAGAAAGGUAUUAAAACUAUCUAUAUUUGUUAUGAAUCUUACUAGUUAAUGUUUCUAAAAACACAUGGUAGAUUGACUCUGUAAUUAUUGUACAUAUCUCAAAUACCAUGUAGGGUUUUCACAACCUAAAUAUGUUGAAGCCAAAUCACUACAACAAAAUUAGGUUAUAAAGACACAUGUUUGUGGCACUUUUGUGUAAGUGUCUCAUUUAUGCAAAAAUUUUUAAAAAAUUUGUAACACACUGGAACUUUGCAAAUUGCGAGGUUCGAGUGUUCGAUUUGUGUUCCGAAUUUUUUCAGAUAUUCUGGAGGGUCGAUGAUAGUGUUUCGACCUAUGGCUCGCAUCCCGAGAAUCGAUAUUUAAAGUUUAGCGCCAAAGUCUCUAAAGUGAAGAUUGUUGGCUACUCUCGGGUUGCACUCUAUAGAGUGAUGUACCGGUACAACAUUGAAGUUGUACCGGAAUGAGAGGUUGUACCGGUACAAUAUUGGGUUUGUACCGGUACAGAGGGCUAUUUUCUGUCAACCCGAGGCUCGGGUUUGGCUGUCUGGCUGGCUUGGUACCGGUACACUUUCCCGUGUACCGGUACGUAGUGCAGUUCGCAGACUACAGUUUUUGAAGGAGGUUUUUGUUAUUGUAGCAACUCUAUUUAGCCACCCACGCCCCUUUGCUGGUCUCCUGAGCUGGAAAACACAGGAGGACAAGGUGGGAAUGUAACGAACCGAAACUCGGUAGAAAAUAUCGAACUUUAGCAAAAUUGACUAAAGUGUGCGAAAGAAAUAGUUGGGCAAGUUCCAUUUAGCGUUCCAACAAUGUUAGAAGGGUUAAAAGUGAGUUUAAGAAGGGUUAGAAGGGUUUUAGCAUCGACCGACGCGAAAUAGAAUCGAAACAAUGCGAAAAUUGCAGCCUGGGCAAAGUGUACCGAUACAACCAUCACGUUGUACCAGUACAACCAUCGCUGCCCUAGAAGAGUAGCUCUCCUGUUUGAUCUCUGCGUAGAAGUGUACCGGUACACCACUGGUGUCUACCGGUACACUUUGGUAAAACCCGAGGAGGCUGCUCUCGGGUUUGGUCUCUACGCAAAUGUGUACCGGUACAAGAACCCGUGUACCGGUACACUUUAUCUCUAGCAGCAGAGAUGGUCUGCUGCGAAAUAAAGUGAAAUGGAGGAUUUAUUUGCAUUUAUAGCAACACAUAUAACACCCCAAUGCCCUCUAUUCUCUCUUCGCUGCAGAAAACCCACCUCCACCUCAUUUCUCUUUCUCUCUCUAGAAAUCACUUCCAAGAGCUAGGAGAAGAAGGAAGAGAAGGCUUUAGAAGGGAUUUUUGGUGGAUUUGAAGGGUUUGGGCUCUCCUACAAGGUGGAUAUUGGAGAGCUAGUGGGCUAAGGUGAGUUUUAUGCAAGAUUCGGUCUAGUGUUUGGAUUUAUACCCUAAGUUUUUGGGAUUUGAACUUCUUGCAAGGCUAGAAACUACCUUGAGGCCAUGAAACACAUGAAACUCAUGUAUUUCUCAUGAGCUCUCAUGGUGAAUAUCUAGGGUUAGCUUUUGAUGCCCUAGGAAUAGUUGGAAUGGUUUAGAAAUGGUAUUAGAGAGCUCCGUGGAUGGUUCUAAGCUUGAUUUUGCUUAGCUACAAGAUCAAUUCCAAGAAAUUUGACAUAUGUCAUUGUUAGGGCACCAAAUUCGGGGUUUUUGUCUUAGGGUGUUUCUAAGACGAAUUGAUCUUCGUUAUGCCGCAGGUGAAAGAAUAGGGCUUCAAAACUUUCAAGAAAUUCACCGUAGCAUCCUUGCAACCAUCUAAGGUGGGUAGUGCAUACCGAAGACCUCAAAAUUCCCUUUAUGUCUAAAAGUGUCAUUUUGUUGAGCAUAUGUGAAUGUUGAGCAUUUUGCAUAAUAGAGUUAAUCGAGAACUUUUGUUGCACGUUAUGAGUAUAGAUGCAUGUGAAAUGAGAGUAAAGAAUGAGAACUUGUAAACCCUAUGUAUGCAUGAAAAGUGAUAAGAACCUAGGUGAGGUAAAGAACCAAAAUGACAUAAUGACAUACGAAUUGGGUGGCAUUAGUAAAUGUCGAGCAUGCAAAUGAAUACUAGAGUGUGUAGCAUUAGUAAAUGACAAGAAUGCUAGAGUUGAACACUUAGAGAACAAAUGUGGCAUUAGCGAAUGAGUACAAAGAACAAGUUAGUGUAUAUGACACUAGUAUCAGUUACUGAAUGCAAGUAAAGAAUAAUAGUGAUAUUGUGACAUAGAAACCUUAAAGAUAAGGGUCACAUGAGCAUUGGAAUCUUUAAAGCUAAGAAUUGAUCAUACUCGCCUAUAGUCUUGGCUUGAGGGAGGUCGCUCCCCCUCGAGCGGUGUACUCCGAAGUUGUCACCACUGGGAACGGGAAUCCCCAGAGGACGGUCCCAACGGAAGGAAGCUGAGGGCCCGAAAUUGGGAUUUUGAGUUGGUGAGUUAUGGAACCCUACGGGAGGAAGCUGAAUGCCUAACGGGCUGAGGGCCUAACAGGUUAGCCACAAGAUUGUGUAAAGAAAAUGUGAUCUUGUAUUCAUCAUGAGCAUCUCAUUGAGCAUAUGAUUGAGUUUAUUAUUCAGACAUAUUAGUUGCAUUUGUUAGUCGGUUACUAUCUUUCCUUUCUUCUAUUAUACCUGAUUUAGACCUAGUGAAAAAGUCAGCGUGGUUGGUGGCCGAACCCACUGAAAACUUUGUUGUACUUCUCACACCCCAUUAUCUACAGAGCCGGGACCGAGCGAGCCGGCUGACGACCGCAGUAAGGGCAUCGCACCCUAAACAGAGACCGCCCGACAUACUUUUACAUUUUGUAGUUGCACACCCUUUAUUAUCAUCUUUUGUAUUUGAUGAUUAUAGGUAUUUAAAAGAAUGAUGUAAAAGAGUUUAUAUUUAAUGCAAAAGUCAUAUUUUGGAGAAUAUGUGAUGUAGAAAGAAAUGAUGCAAAAAAUGUAAAUAUAUAAGUUGAAUGCAUGUAUGUGAUUAAAAGUUAAUUAUAUUACUUGUAUGACGUUUAGUUUAGUACUUUCACUUUGGCUAUUGCUUGCCCUCGUGCAAGUCAUUGUGUAUGCUUCCGCUUGUACAAAUUUUAUAUACUAUUUGUACUUGUUGAUGAGCCUUGGGCGGGCAGGGGAGGCUCUAUCCGUUCGGCGUCUGUUCGACGGGUCCGAACCGACCAAAUAGGAUCGGGUUCGCGGCGUGACUCCUCUUUUGAUUUCUUUCCCUUUUUGCUUGGUUUUUGGUGGUUUAAUCACCUAUUUUGCUCCUUUUUGGCAUUUUGGUGACAUUUCCACCAUGGGAGAAGGCUUGGAGCUUGGAGACGAGCUUGUUGGAGGAAAGAUCUUCAACCCUAGUUGAUUCCAAGCAUUGUUUGAAGCUUCUAUAGAGGUUAGUUGCUUACUUCUCCUCUCUAGAUCAUGAUUCUCAUGAUUUGUGGUAUAGAAACCCUAGAAUGUGAGAUCUAGGGUUUAUAUUAGGAAUUUUUUAUUAGAAGCUUUUGGAACUCAAUUGAUUGAGUUAGAACCUUUGUUUAUGUUAGAUUUGAAGGGAUCUUGCUCUCAUUUAGAGAUUGAGAGAGGUUUUCUUCAUUAUAGGUGAGUUUUUGCCUUUUCUUCAAGAUGGUUAAUGUUUGAGCUUACGGUUGUUCGUUCGUAGCGUUUAACUCUCCUUAUGUUACCUUUAGGGAGGUAGGAGAGUGGUGGGCACCUUCGUCGGCGCAAACGAAGGGCUACGAGGAGUUUCGGUGGGUUUGACUUCAUAAAAAAUAGCAGAACUCCACUUUUGUCAACUUUUAAUUGUCGUAAAAUUAAAAUGCAUGCAUCUUCAUGCUAGAUAGAGCCUACGAGUUAUUUAGAAUGCUUAAAAUACAUGUGUUAUGUAUGAUGAAAAAUUACCUCUAUAUAGUAGAGAGAGAUAUAUGCAUUGUUAGCAUGCAUGAGAAUGACAUUCUAUUAGAUGAUUUGGGAUCAUAUUUCUUGCAUUGGAAAUGACUAGAAUAACAAGCACUUGGACAUAAAUUCAUGUUUGACUUUGUGGACUACAAUGCCAUAAAGAGGCAUUCGUCCUAGUGAACGGUUAAUCUGCAACAUGAUGACAUAGGAAUGGACCAUGGGGUCACCAGUUUUUAUACCAUAUUUUAGACAUGAUGACAUAGUGAUAGGCCAUUGAGAGACAUUGACUUUAUUCCAUAUUUUAGACAUGAUGACAUUGGACUUCAGACGGACUUUUACGCUUGCUUACCAUUGUGCUUAUUCGCACAUACUUGUGAGGGUCGCUCCCCACAAGCCGGCACUCCGGAGAUAGCCAUCGUGAUAUAAGCUCGCCCGUGCGGGAUUGGGCGCCAAAAUGGGAUGCCGUGGGGGAGGCUCAUUCCUAGAGUUGGGAUGUUGACUACCACUAGGCCAUUAGGCACGGCGCAAGCCGAACUAUCCACGGGUAGGUCCUAUAUGAUUGGAACAAGUUGAACCAUAAUGCUAUAGUGGACUUUAGAGAUCAAGUAGUAAACAAUGACAUUCUACUAAUCAUACUUGUGGACUUCUUGUUGCUUAUACUUAUGUGCAUUCAUAUUAGAAUAGCAUUUACAAUUCUGCAACUUCAUGCUAAACAGAGACAUCGUAUUAUAGCAAGUUAGUCAUGUUAUCAUACAUGUUUACAUUCAAGUUAAUUGCUGAACUUCUUAUAUUUACUCGCAGCCUAGUGGUGCAUUUCACUGAGGUCAGUAAUUGCUCACUGGGAACUAUUGUUUAAUAGUUCUCACGCCCCUGUUUAUUGAUGUAUUUCAGAGCUAUCCGCACCGAUGGAGGCUCGGGAUCCUGGCAAAGGGAUCGCCUGGCUAGCUAGCGAGGAGUAUAUUUACUACUAGGUGGUUUUCUUUCUAUUUUUGUAGCUCGAUAGAGAAUGAGAGUUUUGUAUCCAUGUAUAGAGACCACCCUUUUUACAUGUUUAGCACUUGUAUCUGGAUUCCAUCUUAUACUACUUUAUGGUUUUAUGUUAGAGAAUUAGUUCUUUUAUUUUUCGCAUUAUUCUAGAAUCUAGUUGUUGUAUGCUCUGAUACUCCUAGAUGUUCUGUUGUUACUGUUUUAUUUAUCGCUUUGUUGUAGACGCCUUAUAUGUUGUAGGCAUUUGGCGGGUCUGGACACGUACCGGGCGGGCUUCCGCUAUGUCCCGGGGCGUGACAAAAAUUUUACUAAUGUCUAAAUAUAAAGCCCAAUCCAACUAAAAAUAAAAGGUUACUCUACUCAACCCAUCCCACCCAGACCAUUCAGCCCGAUUACAAACAGAAAAGAAAAAAAAAAAAAAAUCGAUUACUAUCUCCCAUUUUCCCCUCACUCAAUCCACUGAAAUUCUAGAUGAAGAGCCCUUCCCUCUCCUCCUCCUCCGCCACCGCAGCCAACGAAGUAGAGUUCCGGCGGUUGCUAAAUGCUUAAAUAAGUGUUGGUAAAUUAGCAACACUAUUUUUAGGUUAUAGCGACACUCUUUAACUGUCACUAUAUACCUAGCGACCCUACAUAUAGCAAUACUUUUUAAAAGUGUCGGUAAUUUAGCCAGCAUCACUUUUUUUGACAAAUACCGACAUUUAAAAGUGCCGCUAUAGAUCGUUUUUGUUGUAGUGUUAAUAAAAGAAUUUUAAUUAGCAGAGAAGGAAAUAAACCUCAAGUUGAAGUCAUAGACAACUUCAUUUUAGAACUUAGUACUUGUUUUGUAUUUGAACUUGAGCAUACUUUCUGUGUUCCUAAAUUUUCUAGAAAUUUAGUUUCCGUUUCUAAAUUGAGAAAUAAAGGUUUCAAAUUUUUAUUUGAGAAUAAAUCUUUUACUUUGUUCUUCGAUAAUUUUAUUGUUGGCAAUGGUUGUUUGCUAGAUAAUUUGUACAAAUUUAAUUUGAGUCAAUUCUUUGAAAAUAACUUUAAUAUUGAUCAUGACAUUGGUGUGAAAAGGAACAUUCUUAAAAAGAACUGCUCUUAUUUAUGGUACAAGCGUUUAGCUCAUAUCUCUUUAGAGAGAAUAAAGAGAUUGGUAAAAGAAAAUAUUUUACAAGAUCUUGACUUUACCGAUUUUGGUACUUGUGUGGAAUGCAUGAAGUGAAAGAAUACUAACAUAAAUACCACUAAAGUUGUCAAAAAUAGUUCUGAAAUUCUUGAAAUCAUACAUACAAAUAUAUGUGUAUCUUUUUCUACUCCUUAUUUCAAUGGUCAGAAAUAUUUUAUCUCAUUUNUACAAGAUCUUGACUUUACCGAUUUUGGUACUUGUGUGGAAUGCAUGAAGUGAAAGAAUACUAACAUAAAUACCACUAAAGUUGUCAAAAAUAGUUCUGAAAUUCUUGAAAUCAUACAUACAAAUAUAUGUGUAUCUUUUUCUACUCCUUAUUUCAAUGGUCAGAAAUAUUUUAUCUCAUUUAUUGAUGAUCAUUCAAGAUACAUGUAUCUAUCUCUUAUUUGAAAAAGUUGAGGCACUUGAUACUUUCAAAGCUUAUAAGAUUAAGGUAGAGAAAUAAUUAGAUAGCAAAAUCAAUAUUAUAAGGUUAGAUAGAGGGGAUGAGUAUUAUAGAAGACAUACGGAUAAAGAUCAAAUAGCCGGCCCAUUUGCUUAAUUUCUUGAAGAUGAAGGCAUCAUUUCGCAAUAUAUGAUGCCUGGCACGCCCCAACAAAAUAGCGUUGCCGAAAAGAGGAAUAGAACACUGACGGACAUGAUAAGGAGUAUGAUUAGCAAUUCUUGGCUGCCAUCUUCUCUUUGGAGUGAGCACUAAAAACAGUGGUGUAUGUUUUAAAUAGGAUUCUAUUGAAGGCUAUUUCCAAAACUUCCUUUGAGUUAUGGAAAGAGUGGAAACCUAAUUUAAAUCACCUACAUGUAUGGGUUUGUUCAGCUAUGGUGAGGAUUUAUAAUCCACACAGAAAAAAGUUGGACCCUCGAAUAGUCAGUAGAUAUUUCAUUGGCUAUGCGGUAAACUUUAAAGGAUUCAGGUUCUAUUGUCCAAAUCACUCAUCCAAUAUAGUUGAGACCAGGAAUGCAAAAUUUUUUUAGGAUUCUGAAGCAAGUGGAAGUGUUGUUCCUCAAAAGAUAGAUUUUAAGGAAAUUAUAAAAGAUUCAACUGAUUAUCCAUCAGCAGAUAAUUUAGUUGCUCUUGCAGAAGGUCAAUUUGACUAUUAUGGAGGCCAACUAAUCUUGGAGCAUAAGAAUGCUGAACCAGUUGAACCUCCCCAUGAAAAGCUAUCUAAAGAGAAACAGACAAUUAUAGAAUCAGCUGCACAGAAUAAUAAAAAUCUGUAGGAAAAGGUUGGCUUAAGAUGAUCCUCAAGACAAAAGAGACCGACAAUUCAUGAUGAUUAUGUAGUCUAUCUCCAGCAGUCUUACUUUGAUGUCGAACACCAUAAAGAUCUAUAGACAUUUUCAGAGACCAUGCAGGGAGAUAAAUCCUCCCUAUGGUAUGAUGCCAAAAAGGAAGAGAUGAAAUCUAUGGCGGACAACAAAGUUUGGAAUCUCGUUUACCACAAGGAGUCAAAGUCAUUGGCUGUAAAUGGAUCUUCAAGACCACAAGGGACUCCUUAGGUAACAUAAAAUGAUAUAAGAGCAGACUUAUUGCCAAAGAUUUCACUAAGAAAAAAGGCAUUAAUUAUCAUGAAACCUUCUCGCCGGUAUCAAAGAAGGAUUCAUUAAGAGUUAUCAUGGCCUUGGUAGCUUAUUUUGAUUUAGAGCUAUAUCAGAUGGAUGUAAAAACGAUAUUUCUAAAUAGGGAUAUAGAGGAGAUAGUCUAUAUGCAACAGCCCGAAGGUUUUAGCACAGAUAAAAACAAUCACCUUAUUUGCAGACUAAAGAAGUCUAUAUACGGACUUAAACAAGCCUCCUGCUAAUGGUAUAUCAAAUUCCAUAAUAUAAUUACUACAUUCGAUUUCGUAGAAAACAUUGUGGACCAGUACAUAUACCUUAAGGUUAGUGGGAGUAAGUAUAUUUUCUUAGUCCUAUAUGUAGAUGACAUUCUGUUUGCAAAUAGUGAUUUGAGUUUGCUUAAAGAGACCAAAAAUUUUUCUUCUAAGAACUUUGAGAUGAAGAAUAUGAGUGAAGUUUCUUAUGUCAUCGGCAUAAAGAUUCACAGAAAUAGAUCUCAAAGAAUUUUGAGUCUAUCUCAAAAAGCCUACAUCGAAAGAGUUAUAGAAAGAUUUAAUAUGGCAAAUUGUGCACUUACAUUUGCACCUAUUAUAAAAGAAGAUAGAUUCAAUCAGAAAUAAUAUCCUCAGAAUGAUUUAGAACGAGAGCAUAUGAAGAGCAUACCCUGUACCUCUGAAGUAGGGAGCUUGAUGUAUGCGCAGGUCUUUACCUGACCUAAUAUAGCUCAUGUAGUGGAAAUAUUGGGUAGAUACUAAAGCAACCCUGAUAUUAAUCAUUGGAAAGCUGCAAAAAAAGUUAUGAAAUAUUUAUAAGGAAUAAAGGAUUACAUAUUCACCUACAGACAUUCUAACCAUUUUGAGGUGGUUGGAUAUUCGGACUCUGAUAUUGCUGAAUGUGUGGAUUCUAGAAAGUCCACAUCAUGAUAUAUUUUCUUACUUUCUCAAGAUACUAUAUCUUGAAGGAGCACUAAGCAAGAUAUAGUUGCUACAUCUACUAUGGAAGCAGAGUUUAUCGCUUGUUAUGAUGCUUCGUCACAGGCUUUAUGGCUGAAAAAUUUUAUCUCAAGUUUAAGAGUUGUCGAUUCUAUCUUAAGGCCAAUUAAGAUUCAUUACGACAACUCUGCUGCAGUAUUCUUUGCUAAGAAUAGCUGAAUUACAGAUCACAACAAACAUAUCAAUAUAAAGUAUCUUGCUGUCAAAGAAUACGACAAGAAAAAUAUGGAUAUUCAACACAUUGAGACCGAAAUGAUGAUUGCUGAUUCUCUGACUAAAGCAUUGCCGGCAAAAAUGUUCAAGGAUCAUAUUCAUCGUAUGAUGAUCUUGAGUCCAUUUAUAGUUUAAGUAUUUUCUUCUUGUAUAAAAAUAUUGUAGUGUUCCAGAGGUUUGGAUAGGAUUGGCUACAGUAUUAGUGAUUGGUCGACACAUUUGGAGAGUGUCGGACUAAGACGGAGUCGUUUCUGCACGAAAUGGAUGCAGAAAUGGACUCGGCACACUCAAAUAAGCAAAACUGAAGUUUUGCCAGUUUCGGGCACCCAGAACUGGUUUAGGUCGCCCAGAACUCGAGUGCUGUUUUGAGCUGAACUGUAAGCCAAUUCGGAUCCUAGUUUCGGGCGCUUGGUUGUGGGUCCCAAAAUUCACCUCGUGAAUAUCGUUUGAGCUGACACGUGGCAGGUGGUAGGUGAGGUCCGCCGGACCAGGAUAUGGGUGAUGUACACUGCGAGCGGAGGAACCGAAGGGGAGUAAUUGUAUAGCCUGGGGUUUCGGACACCCAGAAAGAGGUUUUGGGCGCCCGAAAGUGGCCGUUUUUGCAGAGUUAUCAGGUUAGCAGCUAUUGUUCCGGGGCUUAUUGGACAAUUCUAACUCCCUAUAAAUAGAUGGAACUCGACCCCUGUGAGCUCUUUUUCUCCCUUCUUCACAGUGAAUCCUUAAUUUGCAUUUCAACCCCUCUAAACUUCUCAAAUUACUCCAUUUCUACAAUUUGAAGCUAGAGGACUGUAGUUUCAGCAGAAUUCCUGCAGCGACCUUCGGCAUUUUGGCUCGUAUGCGACGUAGGAAGGUCGGAUUAUUGUGAAACUUGGUUUUGUGGUUAGCUGACUUCCUGAAGAUUUUGUGGAACCCUGUUUGUAGGGUACCGGACUUCGAAAAUCAUGAGGUUACGGUGUCCAUUUGGUUGGAGAGCCAUUUGAAUGGUUCCGGUAAGGUUGCGGUGUAAUGUAAUAUACCGGAUUUAAAAAAAAAUAAAUAAAUAAAAAUAGUAUGAGAUACUAUUUUAUUGGAUUUAGAGAAGUAAAAUAUAAGUCAGAAGUGACUUGUGCUGAAAUCGGGAUGAAAACAGAAUAUUUAGAAUUUUCUGUGUGAAACGGGGCAGAUAAAUUAGCAUAAAAUGCACAGUGUCAAAAAAUUAUGAAAACUGGAGGAUAAGUCAGAAUUAUUUUUAUGAGGCUAGAUUUAAAGUUUCAGCCCAUUCUGACACCCGUAGAGUGAGAAUAAAAUCCGACAGUCAUCUGAUAAAGAUUACAAUUCGGUACAGCUUUCGGUGACCAAAUGGGGUCGAAACUGAAAUAUUAAAAUUUCUUUGGACUCUUUAAGUAAAACCGAAUAUGACUGUCAGAUUUGAGCUCAAACGGAUAUUCAGGGAGUUCCGGCGAAAGAUAUCAGAUUUCAAGCUGCCUGAUGUGAAUAGUGUACGCUACUAUUGAGGGUUGACUAUAAGUAGAAGCUACUAGGCUUCUCCCUCUCCAUCAGCCGACCACCAUCUCCACCACCACACGUUCAUGGUGUAGUGAGAGAAACUCUCCCUUUUCUCUCUCUAAAUAUCUCUCUCAUCUCUCUAUAUUUCUCGCCCAAAUUCGCGGCGUUGGUGGAGAUCGAGCUUGCGAACGCGUUGGAGGCGACGGAUUGAGCUUUCGUGCGCCCGUUGAAGCGACGUGUUUUCGUUGCGGCGUUCACAUUGGGGUAAGCUUUUGGGAUUUGGCUUAAUCCUUAGCUUUAAGAGUUCUAGUAGCCUCUAAUGAGCAUUCUUAGUAUGUUGCUCCGUUUAAUUUGGAUUAUUUGGGGGUAAUUGCAUGUUAGGGCUCAAAAAUGGGAUUUCUCAAUAUGUAAGGGUUUGAUCUCAUUUGACCCUCUAUAAACCUAAUUGCAAGGUAAACGAACGCAUUGGCGAAGUCGGUUCGGCGAUUCGUCGAGCCGUUGUAAAGUUAUUAAAGAAACGGUCGUUUAGGCAUCGUUUCCGCCUGGAGGGCCGAGGCGACAUCGUAUACUUAUGAAAACGGAUUUGAAGCAUCGUGGCACAUAACCGAAGACCUUUAAUUUUCGGAUCGUGAAUUGGUGGCCAUUCGGGUGGUCGCACAAGAGUUUGGCCCGAACCGGACCACGUGCGCCGCGGGAGGCCGAUUGCGAGUGACGACGAGCAAUCAGAACGCUAUAAAAGGUGGGUGGUGUCCAUCCCGAAGCAACCGGGCUCCUUUUUAUGUCUAAGUUUUAUAUUGAUCAAAUUGCAUAUUGACAUCUUGCAUUAUAGGGUGAUAAAUGAUGGUUUGGUCCUAUACCUUGCAUGUUCUUUGGUAGAAUAAUGUAUUUGGCUUAGUACUUAUAUCUAGCAUGCUUGAGGUUUAUAUAUGUGAUGUGGAACCCUAUAAUGAGAUGAUAAGUGUGGAUGGGAAUUUAGUAAUGUAUUGGCUAUUGCAUUGGAAACUUGUAAAGAACGAGUGGCAUCUAGUUGAUAGUAAACAAAAGAACAGAUCGAGUGACCAUAUGUGAGAUUCGUAGUGUAUAUGGAAACCUAUUGGACUUAUAUAUGAUUGUAACCUAGAGGAUGAGGGUGAUUCUCGAGGACAGGAUUGGAUGUCAUGCUUAACGGUCUGUUUUUAAAUCUUGUGAUGGAAGCCCACACAAGUAGUGCGCGGUCCGCGAAGUUGGUCACGUGGGAUCUGCCCUAUUUUGGGCGUCCGCAACGGGAUUGGCUAUUUUGGCCCCGCCAGAUCGGUCUCAUAUUGGUUCGUAGUAUGAGUUAAUCUCCCUAACGCGUCGAGAUGGCUAGUGAGCUGUAGGCGAGCUCUGUCGGUAUGCAUGGAUAAUGAACACUAAAUGAGAUUCUGGAUGAAAACGAGUAAAUAGCUUUUACCUUUUGGAACAAUGAAUUAAUGUUUAGUUUGUUUUAUACUAUUUCAUUGUACAUGCAUCUAUAUAUUUAUGAAGUCGGCAUAGUAGCGUAGCUUUACUCCUGCAAAAGUUUGGAUCGAUUGGGUGCAAAGUUGGUAAACCUCUAAAGACGGAUGAUUAAUAAAUGGACUCAGAGGUUUUGAUUUAUUCUCAGCAGGGUGUUCAUGGUUGGAUCAUACAAACAUGAAACUUGGUUGGUAGAGAAUAAGGCACGCCUUGUAUGUACUUUCGCCGGCGAUUGAGUCGCGUCAUCUAAUAGUUGCGACGAGGUUAGCAGGUUAGGUAAUAGCCCCGAUUGUUGUGUUUCAGGAGGCUAUGGCACCAAGGAGACACUACGCGCGCGGUGAUUCGUUUCCGGCAUCGCUCCGCCUCGCCGAGGUGCCUUGAGCAGAGCUGGGUCAAGUGAACGUGCAAAGAAUUUACUGAAGCGCCAGAUGACUAGCGGCUUAUCGGGUGAUUCAACGCCAAAGAAGUCAGAUCGAGCGGCUCCUAAGACUUUUGGAGCGAUCAUAGUGCGACGGCGGCUCGUGUAUGAACAACUGAAGGCGCUAUGGUCGCGCCCGCCCCUCGCUCGUCGCCGUUAUACGCUGAUGCGCCUUGAAGGGCGUGAGCAUUUUGGUGACUCCGGCGGUGGUCGGCAUCCCGCUCUGCAAGAAACUAGUGUCUCUCUGGCGGUUUUCGGUCCUUACGAUGACGUCAAUGCCGGACAGCUGGGGAAGUGAGACAUAGGUAACGCGAGGCGUUUCAAGGAGAGGUGGAGUUGAUAGAAUACGGUCCUGGAUGGUUCGGGGGAACAGUUCGAUUCAAAAGGGCCCCGAUCAAAAGGCGCGUCCAUGUUAGACAGGACCAUGCAGCUGGCGUGACUGCGGAGAAGAGCAUCGCGGCAGCGACUUUUAAGGUCGGGCGCGGCGGUUGCUUCAGUGUGUUCCGGCGGGACAAUAUGGCCCGUUCAAGUGCGAGAAGGAGUGCCACCUGCCCCGUCAGUUGCAAUCCCCCAGAAGACCAGCGGCAUUUCGGCAGGAGUUCCGUUGCUUAACUGCCGUAUCUGCAGGGUGUGUGAUUUUGUGGAGGAUCCCACCAGGCGGCGGCGUCGGCACUUGCGUAGAGUGCGAAAAGGAGGGGGUCAGGGAAAAGGGGGGAAAGGGGGGUGAAACAAAAAAAAGGUGUUUUCGUUGUGCGGCAAGUUCUGGGCCAUGAAAUAUGAUUGCCCCUUGAGCAUGGACGACUGCUACCGGGCCGGCAGGAACAACUUUACACUUCUGGGUCAAGAUGGUGGAUGUGCAUGGCUUGUGGACGUCUGAGAGCUUGGGGUGGUCCGAAAAGCGGCCGGCCGAAGGACUUUCAGGUGAGCGCCAAGCGGCCCGAUCACGCGGCUCAAGUCGAGGGAACCUGCUGCUGGUUGGUGAUGUCACGUAGGUAUUGAUUUAAUUAAGCAUCAUUAAUAUCUAGCAAGAACGUUUAAGCAGAUUGCAAUGGCAUUUGCUUUGGUCUUUUACUAGCUAUUUUACAUUUAGUAUAGUGCAGAGCCAGGACGCAGGUUAGUGUAGUUAUCCCCCCCAGCAUGCAUAGUCGUGGUGGAUGUCGCCUACCCCUAAAGGGAUUGGUGGAUUAGUCAAUGCGGCAAUACUUAGUGAGCUAACCGAGAAGCAAGAAUCCGUUGGGGAUUCUGUGCGUUGUAGCGUGUAGGGACAGGCGCACACCUAGCCGUACGUUUGCUUGUAUAGAGAGUCGGCAAGGGUGAUCGGUUAGAAAGGCAUUUCGAACGAACUCUAUUACCUGGUUCUCUCCGAUGUCUGGGAUGAGUUCAUGGGGAUAGUAUCCUCGUUUACUUCCCGCGAUGGUGAUAGAGGGAAGUUCAGGAUUAGGGGUGACUGGGCCGGGCCUAAAAAGGCCCGGCUGGGCCAUGUUUGGGCCGGGCUUUGGGUAUUAAAAAUACAACUUUGGGUUCGGGCCGGGUUUAAAAAUUUAGGCCCGAAAAAAUUUUGGGCCUAUUUGGGCAUGUCCAAGCCCGACCCGAGCCCGACCCAAAAGCCCGAUAUAUUAAUUAUCAAAAUAAAAUAUUUAAUUAUAUAUAUUAUUUAUCUAUAGUAUAUCAUAUAUAGUAUAUAUUGUUAUUAAUGAGCUUAUAUAUAUGAGGAUAUAUUAUAUAUUAACAAAAUAUUUAGUUCUAUAUUAUGAUAUAUUUGAUAUUAGAUAUUAAUUUCUUUGAUGUGAUAAAACUAAAAAUACGUAUUUUAUUUUAAUUUUAUACAAAUAAAAGUAUUUAUGUAUUAUAUGAUAAAUGCAUAAAAUGGGCCUCCACAAAGCCCGAUGGGUAUUGGGCAUUGGGCUUGGGCUUGGGCCGGGCCUUAAUUUUAAAAAAAAUUGGCUAAAAGCCCGACCCGAAGCCCAACAUUUUUUUUGGGCCGGGCUUGGGCAUAGUAAUACCCCAACUAAGCCCGGCCCAGUUCCACCAGGAUAAGUUUCCGAAGCUGUGGUAGGUAAACUGCACCGUGAGACGAUACGAGCAGGAGUUCUCCCGUGUCAUGAAAUGCAUCCUACACGUAGUGCGGAUGACGAGGACAUGGCCGAAUUGCUUGUGCGGAGAUUUCGGCCGGGCGUUGUUAAAGUCGUUUAUGUAGGGGAAGUGGAUUCUCAAAAUCCGAGGAUUUGACUUCGUCGGAAAUUGACUAAUUGUCGAGUGUGUAGGCUUCGGAGAAGCCGAAGAUGUCUAAAUCACCAAAAGUACAUUGGAGUUGGAGUCCACGAGAGCAAUAGUGCAAGGUCUGCACUUGGUGGAGUUGCUCUCGGGGACCGGUCCCUGGCAGGGAGGAACCGGUCCCCGUAGCCAAUGGUUGCAGGGUUGCUUGAUGCAACCGGUCCCUGGAUCUGAGGGACCAGUCCCCCCCGUAUGCGAAAUCGUCGAGAAGCGAAAAAUUGGCUAAGUCCCGGAAAUGCCACUCUCGGGAAUCGGUCUCUCAGCAGGAACCGGUCUCCCGAGGACCGGUCUCUCGGGCAAGGACCGGUCCCCGUAGCUCAAAAUUGCCCAGUUUGGGGCAAUGCACCUUCUUGAUUCCAAUCGCAAUCUCGAACCUCGGAGGUGCCUUUAUUGACUUCCUUGAGAUGCGGGAUUGUGGGAGUUCUCACCGAGCACGUAAUGUGCGUUGCGUGGUGAGAUAGGCAUUCGUGCGGUCGAUUGCAGGGUCGCGUUGUAGGAGGUAGCCUCUUCCUCUCCGAGACAGUUUGUGGAUGUGAAGUCUACAGAGUGGUCUAGAGAACGAGUGGUGAGGAAGUGACGACGGAAGGCUCGCGGCGGGCAACGAGCGUCCGUGAGUACGCGACCUUGGUCGAAGGACCUUGCAUGCAUUCGUCGUGUGGUCGCUUGCUAUCGUCGAUGCAUCGAUGUAGUAAGGACCAAAGUGACGGACAAGUGUAAAUACCCGAGCAUGCUUGCGCGUGAGGGUGUAACGCUUGCUGGAGUAGAUGGAGGGCUAGACGGUACUAGCAAAUUGCUAGUAGUGGAAUCACUGUUGAGAGAGUAGCCGUAUAGUUGCCGAAUACGAGAACGUUAGCCGAGUAGUACCUCAAGUUGAGGUCAGCGAGUCAUGCUCGUGUAGUGGGUAUGCAUAGGCAAGGUUGCCUAAUGCUGACCUAGUUGGAACGCAGUAGAGGCGUGUAGAGCGCUCGAGUGUAAUUACGCGUGAAGUGCGGUUUCGAUUCAGCCGGUCGAGUGAAUUGGCAGUAGCACUUCGGCAGGGCUAAGUGUGAAGCGGGCCACGGAUCACUCGUGAGGGCUGGUGGCUCAUACUAGGUGCUUAGGCACUUAGGAGUCGGUAAUGGUACGUGUAACUCAAUAGAGUAUGUCGUAUAAGACGACGACGGCGAGUAGUGCUUGGGGACGAUCCGUGCCUGGACCAUUUGUGGACUGUGGAGCCUGGGCCCAUUGGGCAGGCACAGUCAGCUGUGAGAGACAGCGGCCCAAUGUAGGGCAGAAUUUUGGUCAGGGCGGUAGUCCAAGCUGAGACUCGGGAGCGUGGAAUGACACACGUGGAUCAUGAGAUCAAGGUUACACCUAGUGGGUAGUGACCCAACCCAAGGAUUCGACGUGGUUUGAGGUCUUAGUUGCUCCUGGUUGAAGUGUGUGCGAAUUCUCCAAUAAGAAUUUCGCCCAGUAGUGAUAAUUGGGUCUACACUGGUGAGCGAGAGACACUACGCGUAGUUGAGACUGGUUUAAGCGACAGGUCUACGUAGGAUUGGUGACCUGUGGUUCACCUAUGGAUUUGAUGAAAGUGGUUGAGCGAGUAGCCUCAGUGAUGGGCGUGGCCUAGAAUGACGAACGGAUGUUCAUGUGGAUUCGUUGCACGAACGAGUUGGUGAUGGUCGUGGCAUAUGGUAUUCGAGGAUAUACUGCUCGCGUGAGACAUUGAGCUAUUGGAAGCCACGAGAGGUAGAGGAUUGAAGUUGAUGCCCCUAAGUGAAUUGGAGCUUGAGGAUAAUGCUCUUUUAAGGGCUGAGUUGGAGAUGUGCCGAAGCGUGCCAUCCCGCGGUAGAGCAAGGGUCUGGUUGAAGAUUGGAGCACUCGCAGUGGGUCGAUGCACCAAUGAUAUUGCUUCUAGGCGAUAUUGGUGAUCGAAUUGGAGUGUGACCCCUAGAGGGAUGGUGAAAGUGAUGAAGAGUCGUGAAUGAGAAAUACGAACUCUUGGAUAGCCAAAGUGGCGGAGCGCCGCUUUGUUGACAUUCGGGUGAUUCGAGAGGGCUUACCCGUGUGUGCUGUGUCGUGGUGGUGGACCAUAUGACUAUUGGUGCGUUCUUGAUAGCUCCACACCAUGAGGAUAGCGGGUAGUCCCGGUCUCGAGGGAGGUGGUUUGGCCUUAGUGGGCCAGUUAGCGAAUGGCGUUGGAGCGCGUAGAGCCGUUGAGCCUCGACUUGCGCUGCUACCAAGAAUAACGGAGAACGUAAUGCACCUUGCGAGAUGCGCCUUGCAAAGUUGUACGAGUUGGGUAUUGUACCCUCCGUGUUGGGCCUCUUGGAUAGUUGCAAAGAGGGUAAAGCCAUUCCGAACUAGAAAAGUGCAUUAGCGCCCUAAAUUGCUCAAGGAGCCGAAUUGAGGCGUGGUUUGAGUUUCGCGGACGAAACUCUUUUUAAGGAGGGGAGGAUGUAAGGUACCGGACUUCGAAAAUCAUGAGGUUACGGUGUACGUUCGAUUGGAAAGCCAUUUAAAUGGUUCCGGUGAGGCUGCGGUGGAAUGUAACAUACCGGAUUUUUAAUAUAAAAGUGAAAAUAAGUAAAAAUAGUAUGAGAUACUAUUUUAUUGGAUUUAGAGAAGUAAAACAUAAGUCAGAAGUGACUUGUGCUGAAAUCGGGAUGAAAACAGAAGAUCUAGAAUUUUCUGUUGGAAACGGGACAGAAAAAUUAGCAGAAAAUGCACAGUCUCAGAAAAUUAUGAAAAUUGGCGGGGAUGCCAGAAAUAUUUUAAUGAGGCUA
rnacentral:lncRNA from 1 species